GUCUGUACAGGUAGGUUCACAAAACAAAACAAUAAAUGAUGAACAUGGACAACAUGUGAAGUCAUGCAGAUGGAGAUGGACUGUACAUGCAUUGCAGUGAGCAGAUAAUAAUAAUAAUGAAUAGUUUAAGAAGCAGAGACGUGUUAUGUAGUCUAUGUAUCUGAAAUGUGAAGCAAUCUGACAUUUCAACCUAUAGCUAGGUAUAUGAUCGAGUCCUCAGCCUCCUGCAUUCACUGUACCAACCAAUCCUGCUACUGCUAAACAUGAUUGAUCCUGCUCUAAGAAAUGGAACUGGAUCCUCCUUGAGCUCAGGAUGAGGAUCCUUCUGAGCAGUCCAUUCGGACCGUUGAAAUUUAAUCCAACGGCUUCAAAUAGGGGGUUCCUCUAAAAGUUAUAAUAAUUACAGCCGUUGGAUCAAGUUUGAACGGUCCGGAUGGGUUACUCAUGAAGAUCCCCAUCCUGAGCUCAGAAGAGGAUCCAGUUCCCUAAGAAAUGCAAAUGCCGCAAGCUGACAUAUUAGUUGACUAUAAUAUAUACAUACUCUCUCGGUCUUUCACCUAUAGCUAGUAGCUUAUUGGUUCUUGUAUUGUGAAACCCUAAUGAGAUAUUUACUUACAUAACGGGAAGUAAAAAAUCGAGAAACUUAUGAAUAAAAGAAAUGUGGAAUGAGAACUGGAUACAACGUACUACUUUCCUUAGUUGAUGUAAUUAUUGGUUUUGACGAUAUUGGGUUAUAGAUUAUAAGAUGAAAUUCACGUACCUAAUAAAUGCUGAAAAGUCAGGAAUUGUAGUGAUUUACUUUGCUCGAGUACCAAUUCAUGAUAAGUAAUAACAUGCAAUAGGUUAAACAUCGGCCAUCUUGUGAACGAGAGUUUAUACAAACACUUAGGUAUUGUUUGGUAUGCAGAUGGGAUGAGACAAAAUGGAAUCGGAUGGGAUAGGACGGAACGGAACGGACAGGAAGCAAAGAUGUCCUCGGAUGGAAACAAGGAGGAAGAAAAAGGAGACGGAGAGGUUAUAAUUUUGUGUUCCAUGGAUGUGGAACGAGUCGUUCCAGGGGAUGAGGGCGAAUGAAAAUUCACUCAAAAUUAGUCCUGGGAAACAACGCGUUCCACCCGUUUUAGGCGCACCAAACGUGGGACGGAACGUCUCGUUCCCCUUUAUUCCGUCCCGUUCCACGUACCAAACGGUACCUUAAUCAACAGUUACAAAACAAAAAAUCAACUUCAACGGAUCCAUGCCCAUGCACGGUGCACCCAGAUUGCAUUUUCCCCCGAGAAAUAAUUUUCAAUUUUAUUUUCAAAAACAGAUGAUAUAUUAGUAUAUUAUCAGGGGUAUUUUGGGGUCAGGAGCGUAUACAAUUUGGUACGGAGUUGCAGUCUGUUUCCUUGACUAUUCCGACCUACUAAAUUUGAACAUCCCAACCUCAAUGAUUAAAAAAAAAAAUAGAAAUUCACAAAGCUCAAGGAAAGAAAAAUUUGCAAAUUUCAUGAAAUGAUUAAAUAUUCAUAAAUAUGAGAAAUUUUUAAUUAUGAUCGAAAUACGGAUGGUACACCACGUGUUUUUAUGUAAGUGAUGAAAAAUUUUAUUUUUUAAGUUAUUAACUUUUUAACACAUGUAUCCCACCAUUUAUAUAACGACAUGUAACGUAUCAUUCCGUAUGACGAUCACACUACAAAAUCUUUCCAUAACUAGGGCAUCAAAAGGUCUUUGGUUAAUUUGCUGUCCAGUCUGUUCAUUUGACCUUUGAACCCCCCCCUUUUAUGCUUUCCUUUCACAAUUUGUGCUCAACAUUUCUUCAAGGUCACCUGAUUAAUUGUCCCCCAUGUAAUCAUAACCCCUUUUUGUAUUUAAAUACAUUUAUUUUAUUUAAAAAUGGAUGUUUGACUAACAAAAACGUUUUUUGUCGUAAGAAAACGUUGUUAUUUCUUCUUAAAAUAAUGCCAAGAAGGGAAUACGAAUUUGUAAACUCUCAAGUUCACACUUUUUUUUCGUAAUUUGGAAUAUAAUCAUGUUGAACAAAAUAUUAUAAAUUCUCUAGAGAAAAUGAAAAUACCGAAAAUAGGGUCUUGUGUUAAAUGCUAAACCUGAUUAAGUUUCAGAUUGUCUGUCACCCUCGGCACGCAUUUAGACAUCACUAUAAAGGAUUAAAACAAAUAAAAAGAAGGGAAAGAGAGAAAUUUGAAGAAACAGCAAAAGAAAGCUUCAAUUUUUUUCAUGCUUCUGUUUUACUGUAUGUAAUGUUGUAAGGCAGUCUCUCUCUCUCUCCCUCCUCCUCAUCACCUACCACUGACAACUCCACCCCUUCUUAUUAACCCCACCACCACCAUUUGCUCUCUCCAGAAUUCCAUGUGCCUCUUCUCUUCUCCAUUCCCCUUGGACUGCACAGACACACAUUAGCCUCUGUUCUUGUGAGUUGUGAACCCCCAUUUUUGUUUGGAGUUUUUCAAAGGGGCAAGUGCUUGUGGGGAAGAGUGUUGCUCUGCCUCUGUCUCACCAUCUGAGCUUGGAUACAAAAACCUAUUUCCCAAUUGAGAAAACCCAGUAAGGAACCCCACCAAUAUUUACAUUACAAAUAAUGGGAUUGAUUUGGUUCUGUGGCAGCAGCCCCAUUUCCAAGCUGGUUUUUUCUGGGUUCUUUGGAGAUCUAGAAGAUUGAGUUGAAGAAGCCUUUCAAAUUGAAUUUGAAGAAUAAAGGUACCGAUUCAGAAACUUCCAGUGUAUGGAGCCUCUCUAUAUGGUUACUUUUGCUGCAUUUAUAUACAUUAUAUAUAUAUAUAUACAUUAUAUAUAUAUACAUAUAUAUAUAUAUAUAUUCCCUGUUUGUUUGCUGAGCUAAAUGUGGAAACGAUUAGGAAAUGGAGUUUCUGAAGAUUUUACUGUUCUUGUUGUUAACCUGUAGAAUGUUAAAAGUUCAUGCUUGUUUCAACUUUUGUGGGUAAUGUAGAACUGGACUGAGCUAAGCCAAGCGGUUGUUGUAUUAGGCUUAUUGGGUUUCUGCAGUUAUUGGUUUAAUUGGGUUGGGUAAUAAAUGUUUAAAGUUUUGGUCUUUUCGAUUGUGUAUAUAUUGGACAAUAUGGAAUGAUGUGGGAAAUGCAUUAGUUGGUCCUGUUGUUAAUAUGUUUUCACUGUAUGAAAGUGGGUGGAAUUGGAAAGGAGAAAUCUUUGUGCAUUUUUUCCUACUUUUCCUUUGGUUUGUAGUUUGAAUGUCAUAUUGAGGCUGAGUUUGUUUCCGUGAUCACUUUGGUGUUAUGUGAUCUGCGUAGUCUUUGUGAGAUUGUGGAUUGUGGUUGAGUCCGUUUCCCUGACCAUGUUGGUUUUCCGCUCUCUCUCUCUCUCGCACUACAUAUUUGUUUCGUAGCACACUAACUUCUACCGCUUUGUUUACUUUUAUUAUGUUCCCAAUUUGUGAAUAUGUGUUUUGUCUUUGAAAAGAAAAAAAUUGAUGGCAUUGAAAGAGGUGAAAUUUUACAUAGACAAGCAGUUAAAUUCAGUAACAAAAUGGUAGAUAUGCAAAAGAUAGAGUUUUUUAUGCAUGGAAUUGGAGUUUCUAAUUUCUUUGUUUUGAACUCUGCAGGGUCCUUUUUAUCAAGAGUAAAUGGCAUCUGGUCUUGAUACUGUAUUAACCAAGAAGACAUUUGUCUUCGGUUUAAAGGUUUGGGUAUUAACGGGGAUCAUUGUGGGAGUUUUUAUAGUGAUGAUUCUUGCGGUGAUAUCAAUUUGUCUUACUUCGCGAAAGAGAUCCAGAAAGUCUACUGACAUGCUUCCUCUGCGCAGAAUUCCAAAUGAUUCAAAGGAAAUCAAAGAGAUUAGGGUAGAUCAAGCUUGUGCAAAUAACUACGUACCCCGUAGUAGUUCUUUUCUCACCCUUGGCGAUAAAUUCAGUGACAGAGAGUCUGAGAAAGUUUUGAUCCAUAAGAAUGGAGAUGGUAGCAGUCGAUCAGGCUCAUUUAACAAUGGGGAGAAGGAAAAUGUUGGUUCUCAAUCUGGAGAUGAGUGUGGUGCAGCUUAUAUGUAUGAGCCUUCUUCACAGCCUAUAACUGCACCUUCACCUCUAUCUGGUCUACCUGAAUUCUCUCGCCUUGGUUGGGGUCACUGGUUUACAUUAAGGGACCUUGAGUUCGCAACAGGUCGGUUUUCAAAGGAAAAUGUCAUUGGUGAGGGUGGAUAUGGAGUUGUUUAUCGGGGUAAUCUGAUUAAUGGAUCUCCUGUGGCUGUGAAGAAGCUACUCAACAACCUGUAAGAUGCAUCUUAUUUCAGUAGCUUUAUGGAUUUCUGUUUUUUCUAUCUUCUGUUUUCCUUACAAUUCAAUUGCUUGGGCUUAUAACAUAUAUAUUUUCAAUCAUCACACAGAGGACAAGCAGAGAAGGAAUUCAGAGUGGAAGUUGAGGCUAUUGGGCAUGUACGACACAAAAACUUGGUUCGACUUUUGGGAUACUGCAUCGAAGGAACCCACAGGUAUUUCUCUGUAAUUUUAUGUAAUGACUUCUACAUGGUAAAAUACAGGCAGUCAUGUUAUUAUUUGCUGAGCACCUUGUUUGGAUAAAAUAGAGAGUACUAUGUCACAUCCUUAGUUACAUGUAUAAUCCAUUCAUACUUAAAACAUGUGUGUUUUGUUCAGGUUGCUGGUUUAUGAAUAUGUCAACAACGGAAAUUUGGAGCAAUGGCUUCAUGGAGCGAUGCGUCAUCAUGGAUAUCUCACAUGGGAGGCACGCAUGAAAGUUCUCCUUGGCACCGCUAAAGCGUAGGUCUUCCUAUACCUUUGUUUGAGUUUUUCAUCCUUGUGGUUUAUCUUUUUCUGACUCUUUUUUUCACAUAUUUCAGGCUGGCUUAUUUGCAUGAGGCCAUUGAACCCAAAGUUGUGCAUCGAGACAUUAAGUCGAGCAAUAUCUUACUUGAUGAUGAUUUCAAUGCUAAGAUAUCUGAUUUUGGUCUGGCAAAGUUGCUAGGUGCCGGGAAGAGUCAUAUUACAACUAGAGUUAUGGGUACCUUUGGGUGAGUACCUUUUCUCCCUUAGGAACAGUUGCAAUUUCUUGUACGAAGAUUCUUGUGUUGGUAGAAGAACACUAUAUCAUAAUUCUAGAGUAAUCCUUUCUUAUCGGUUCCUUUCAUCAUUCUGUUUUUCAGAUAUGUGGCCCCAGAAUAUGCCAACUCUGGCCUUCUAAAUGAGAAGAGUGAUGUUUAUAGCUUUGGGGUUGUGAUUUUGGAAGCAAUCACUGGAAGAGAUCCGGUGGAUUAUGGUCGGCCAGCACAAGAGGUAUGACAAAAUUGUUACUGUUUUGAAGUGAGAAUUUGGAGAUCAAAUAUGCAUCUUAGUUUUGCAUUCGUAUAUUGAUUAGUUAAGGAUGCAUGUCAUAUUCGAUAAUCUGCUUUUAAAUUCAUUUUAGUUUGCACAGGAAAAUUCUUUGCUUCCGAACAAAUGGAUACCCCAAAAAAACCUUGGAGUUGUUUGAUAUGUUCUGUGACAGCUAACUAUCUUUAUAUCUGCUUCCUUUAGGGGAACAAAAAAGAAGAAAAAGGAAUGAUACCUGUGUAGUAACAGUUGCCCUUACACCUGCUGUGUGCAUCUUGUAGGUAAAUUUGGUGGAUUGGCUCAAGAUGAUGGUUGGAGGCAGGCGUUCAGAAGAGCUGGUAGAUCCGAACAUUGAGACCAAGCCAUCUACGAGUGCCCUUAAACGAGCCCUCUUGACUGCACUGAGGUGUGUAGAUCCAGAUUCUGAUAAAAGGCCUAAGAUGGGUCAAGUGGUUCGCAUGCUUGAAUCGGAGGAGUAUCCCAUACCUCGAGAGGUACGUUUCUGAAAUCAUCUUUGAAAUAACAAUGCUAAACAGACCUUAUAUCCAUUUGACACAAAUAUAGAUUUCAUUCGAAUUUUUGGCUUGCGUGGCUUGUUUUUUCAAUUCAUCUCAUCGUUAUACUCUGAGGAGUUCAUAAGUUGAUCUAUGUAAUGUAACUUGGCUGGAAUUCAGGACCGAAGACGCCGCAGAAGUCAAGCAGGGAACACAGAAGCCGAGUCUCUAAAUUCUGAUACAGAUUGGAGUGAGAAGCCAACUACAAAGACAGAUAGCAGAAGGAACCGUCGAACAUAGGCAAAUGGCGAAUCAAUCAUAGAAAUGCAAGGAAUACAAAUCAAAGGGGACAUGUUACACUCGUUUAAAGCUUUCAUAUUCUUCAGCCUACCAUAGUUGUGAUCAAAGGAAGGAACUGAAACGAGAUAAAGGAAAGGACCAGAACGAAAGGAACUUUUUUUUACUUGUUUUUUUGAAUAUAUAAACCUACUUAUAGGUGUUGAGAGAUGGUUUUUGUGUAUGGAGUGGCACUAGAAGGGGAUGCCUUAGCCAUCGAGUGUGUACAGUUAUCGGUUUUUUCUCUUCCUUUUUUUCUUUAGGUGAUUGUAAUUCAUGAGAUUUUUUCUGAGACAUGCUAAAGUUUACAGGAAGAAACGUUUUUGGCUUGCAUUGUGUGUUUCUACUACCAGCAUUGUGUUAGGUUUACGACCGCGACGGGAGCUUGGUUGAAUGUCAAGCCAUGUUGCCGUGCAUUUGAAGCAAACUGUGAGAUGUGAAACUCAGCACAAGGAAAGGCAGUCAUAUAAUUGCCAAGUUCAAUAUAAGGGUUGCGUGUCAUGUGAUUUUGGAGGCUAAAAUUGCACAUCAUGUGCUUUGAUUUAUUGCUAAGCACGGGAAGGCUAUUUUUCUCCUUUCAUGCUCCCAACUUUUCUUGAGUAAUUGCAGACACACAGUACCAACACAUUUAAUUGUUCGAUUUGAUUUAACGCUCGUUGGUCAUUCAGUUUAAACCGUUGGAUCAAAUCCAAGGCUUUGUAUUUUUACAGAUAGGAUUGAAUAUGGCUAUGCAUUUUUUGUUUUUUUUGUUAUGCUUGGCAAUAUUAACCAGACAACGCUUCAAAUUAAAAUGGUGUUUGAACAUGUUAUCCAACAACCAAAAGGGGUCAUGAGCAUUAUGGGAUGAUUUGUUCCGCCGAAUCCAUGGACUAAACAAAUACGCAUAUGUGAAUUAAGCCAGUUGAAAAAGGCUCCGUGUCUAACCCGUGCAUCCAAGCUCAAAUCACCCUCCUCAUAAAUUAGAAUAAUUUAAAAUAUCAUCUCGCCAAGAAUAAAAACAUAAAUACACUGUUUGGUCCCCUCACAACAAAAAGCUAUAUUCUGCACUAUGUUUGGAAUCUUAUUCUCUGCAAAUUUAUGUGCUGUUCCAGGAGACUAAACAGACACCCAAGAAAAGGUUGUUGAUUUAGAAAAGUCGAAUAAUCCAAGGCUCCAAUAAGGAACUUUUGAACAGGUAACAGAGUCACCGUGAAUUACAUAGGGGAUCAUUAAGAUUUUGAUGAGCAAAAGGAACCGAAGAAUGGUAUGAUCUACAGAAACUGUGUUUACAAAACGAAUCUCAAUAAUGUUGUCUGCACGAACGAUUGACAGGUCGGGAAUCCAGAAGCUUGUUGUUUCAAUGGUGGGGAGCGGACCGAGCAUGCAAAAGAGGCUGUAGAGCCUUGACAACAAUGCUCAUAUUUGGCCGGAAAUCAGCUUCAUAUUGGACGCACAAGGCGGCAACAGCAGCCAACUGUUUCAAGCACACAAAUUGUGAUCAGUGGAUUUGAAGUAAACCAACUGCCUGCCUUUUCAAUUAGUCUAUAACUGGCCAGACCAAAAGUAUGUCGUGUUCUUGUCCAUCCAAUCAACAAUUUAAAGAUAACAUAAUUAUAUAUGUGUGUAACUGUGUAUACAUAUUAAGGAAUCGCAGCAAUGGCAAGUAUUUCUUGGAAUCAAGUAAACUGGUGGUGAAUAAUUACUCAAUGUGUUCCCGAUUACCUUUGCAACUGCCUUGGAAGGGUAUUCUCCAUUGAGUCUAGCAUCAACACACUGCUUCACCUUAUCCUCACUGAGUUUUGGUGUUGCCUAAUAGAAUCAAAAAUUCGAGAAAAAAACUCAGCGAAAUGAAAGAUGAAAACCAGUAACCAAUAAAAUUCUCCGCUUCCACCCGUCCUGAAUGAAUAAAACAAAAGAUGCAAGAACCAAGCAUGAGUUACAAGUAGACAAGAACUAGGAUGAAAUUAGUACCCAUGUCACAAGGCUCUGCUGCCCACGCGGCAAUGUGUGAUCAACAGGUUUACGCCCAGUCAAGAGUUCAAGCAACACUACACCAAAGCUGUAGACAUCACUUUUUGAACUCAGCUGUCCAGUCAUUGCAUAUCUGCCAUUCGGAAUCACAGACAAGAAUUACAAGGGGAUAUAUGCCAAAUCAAAAUUUUGGGCGUACAUCAUAACGUGAUUAUACGGUACAUCAAGGAAGAAAUUACUCUGGAGCAUGAUAACCAAAAGUCCCAAGAACACGAGUAGAAUGAAGACGUGCUGCCAUAUCAGGUGCUUGAUUUGACAGAUCAAAAUCAGCAAUCUUUGCAACAUCAUCAUCAAAAAGCAGUAUAUUGCAGGACUUAAUAUCACGAUGGAUUAUAUGAGGCUGCGCCUUUUCAUGUAGAUAUUCAAGUCCUCUCGCUGCUCCUACAGCAAUUUUAACCCUUUGUACCCAUGACAGAACCGGACCUGGCUGUGCUCCCUUAACACCUUUCCGACCUAUAGCCACAUAAAGAGAAACAAAUUUCUAUUAGCAUAGAGAUGAAGGCGAUCUUACUAAUUAUCAAAGAGAUAAAGCUCAAAAAUUUGCAGCUGAUGAGCAAUUUUCUAUUGUUUGGAGGCCAACCCGCUCGUUUCGCAGAUUACAUGAAACACUAGGCGUCAUUAAACACAAACAACUAUCAUCAACUAAUUGACCUUCAACCUAUAAGUUAUUAAGCCUCAUUCAAAAUUUGUAAACCAAAAAAAAAUUCUGUGUGCAUAAAGCUUCACUAAAAAAAGAUCUAUGUGGUACUUGAUUAAAAAUUUACAACUUUUGGAGGCUGUAAAUAACACCACACGAUAGGAAUGUGGAAAUGUUACUUACCAUGGAGAAUAUCAUGAAGGGACCCCUUAGGAGCAUACUCAUAGGCAAGGAGACGGAGAGGGCCAUCAAUACAAUAACCAACAAGCUCGACAGCAUUCUCAUGUUUUAGUCUUGAAACCAUGGAGACCUGUAAAUUUAUGCUCCAAGCAUUAAAUAAAUUUGAGUAUCAAAUAGCGUACCAUGUCAAGUAUCAAACACAAAACAUUCCGCAGACUUAACCUGCGAUAAGAAUUCUCGCUCCGGUUGUUUACUGGAGUCUAACUUCUUAAUAGCUGCAGCAGGCCCACUUUUCAGAACACCAUGAUAUACUCUUCCAUAUGAACCCUCACCGAUUAAAGAUUUCGUGCCAAAGUUAUCUGUCAAAUCUUUCAAUUCAUCCACUGGAAUGGCAGCGACAGCGAUGGGGAGGAUAUUUACAACCUGAGUAUCCUUGGGUGCAGCUUCUUUCUGAUAGUAACCUCCACUAUUGCCUAAAUUUCAAAUGUCGAGUUUUGCAUCAAUCAAACAAUAAGCCGUAAACAGUGGAUAUCUAAAAUCAAAUGGCAUAGAAGUUGACCUGACUAAUUCCAACUGAAAAAGUAAUGGAAUAUGUCAUUAUUAUCAAUGCACUCAGAAUAAGAACAUCGUAUAUAUACACCCACGCGGUACCUGCUGAGUGAUUUGUCACAUGCGGUCGAGUCUCAGAAGCUUUACGGACAUCAUCUUGUACACAACAACUGAAGCAGCUCAUGAUGUUUUUAUCUGAAGAAACAGUUGAAAACCAUCUUAAGCAAUCUUACGUUGACAGACCGCGGGCGAUAAAAUUUAUCUAACAAAGAUCAAUGGUUUCUGGAUAGUUAUAAAGUCUGGCUUAAUUUCAGACUAGUUCAAUCUGUUAUAAGUUACUAAAACCUCAAUGAAUUAACAUGCUUUAUUCUAAAUCAAUGUUAUUCAAACAAGAGAAACGAUGAAGAAGCACUUGGAUAUCACCCAAAAAAUUAAAAAAACACAACCAAAAAUCUGUAUCAAAAGUUAAAUCCAUCAAUUUAUUCAUUUCACAAAUUAAACCAAAUCAAAGUAAAAAUUCAAAAUUCCCAUUUAAGAUCCAUCAACAAGGAGAGAUUCAUUUUUACAACAGAACAUAAAAUUCAAAGCUUUCUAUUUCUACAUGUUCCUCUUGAGUCCUGUCUCAAAAAAACAAAACAGAUACACAAUAAAUCAAAAGAAAAAGAAGCCACAAUUAGAAAAAAGUGCAUCUAAAACAAAUAAAUUUACAAAAAAUAAAAAAUAAAAAAAAAGUAGCAGAAUUGUGGGGGAAUGAUAUCUCUCACCUUGGUAUGUUUAUAUGGUUCUUCUGGCAAUUGGGUUUUUUGAGUUUUGAGUCAAGUGUUGGGAUUGGAGUGAUGAGAGUGAUCAGGCCGGCUAUGGAGGCCCGCAGGAGAGGGAGAGGGGAAGGAGGCGCACGUCAGCAAUGUACAGAAGGCAUGCAAAUGGGGAGGUUGGGAUGUCUGUCUGUCUCUCUGUCUCUCUGUUCUGGCUUUGACUUACGUUAGAAGAGAGGACACAAAGACAACAACCGAAUUUUGUGUUUCCACUCUUAAACUCCUCGGUCUUCACGAUCUUCUGCGCAUUUCGAAACUGUCAAAAACCAGUUGGGAUGUUAAAUCUUUUUAAUUUUUUUUUUAAUUUGAUAUAAAUAUCUCUUCACUCAAUUGCGUUCUUAGUUUAAGUUCUCUGAUUUAUUUUUAAGUGUGCAUUAACGUAAGAUAUCGCUUCUAAACAGUACAAGUAACAACGCCAUUUACAGUUAUUAAUUAAAAUUUUAAUAAAUAAAAAUAAUAGUGCUGUUUUCUAAAAAAGUAAAACAUCAAAAGUAUUAAUCAUACUAAAAACUAACAUUUGUCUACAUACUUUGUAUGUAUGUACAUAUUUUUUUUUUAGAAAAUAAGAAGGAGAGAGAAAGCGUGUAGGGUGAGAGAUUUUUGUUUUUGAUUUUGAUUUUUUGAUUUUUUGAUUUUUUUUAAAUAUUGAAGGUAUUUUAACAUCACAUGUAGGUGAUGUUUUAAUAAAAAAUAAUAAAAUUUGGACCUAUGAAAUUACAUUAUUGCCUAUCUUUUUUUUUGGUGUCAUAGAAGACUAAUUUAUCUUUUCACUCUCUUUUGAUUGACAAAGAGAGUUUUAUUAAUUAGUAGAAAUAUUAAGGCCAUCUCCAACCGAUGGCUGGCCAGAUGGCUCGUCUCAGCCCUCUGGCCCUCCAAGAUUCUCCAAGAUAUUAAUAAAAGGGGAUGAAUAGUGAGAACAAGUUCAACCCAAAAAAGAAAAGCAAUAGAAAAAAAAGAAAACUAAUGAAAAAUGUUUGAAAACUUUGAGUUUUAACGAUAAGGGUGAAAUAAAGAUUAAAGUGAAUAGUACUAAUAUUGACUUUUUAGUGUAAAAAUAUUAUUUUUUAUUAAAGUAAACAGUACCGGAAACUUUUCGUUAAAGUUCUUAAAAAAAAAAAGAUGAAAACCCAGUUGACGUGUUAUUUUGAUGAAAGUGGCUGGCACAUUGUUUGUAUAUAUUACUCACGUACUUUCUAUACAUAUUAAACUACAUAAAGCAGAGCAAAGCAAUUAUUCCUCUCCAAAAUUCUUCUACCCAAUCUCAGUUUAUAUGUGCAUGUUACGCCUCGUUGCAACGUCAUCUUGAGUCAUGGGUUGUUCAUUUAGAUUAGUAAAUUAUUUCGCUCCUUAGAGGUGUGCGAUGCAAGAAGAUUUGUAACUAACUCGUUUAAUUACGAAUAUUUACAUUUGCAUCGGAUGAUUUACGGUAUUAAGUUCAAACCUCUCCUUGACUCUUGUCCUUUGAUUUUAAUAUAUGUUAAUUCCAGAUUAAAUUAUGUUAAUGUGAUUUGCAUUACAUUUUUAUAUGCACCGCCGUUUUGAAGAUGUGGAUUCUGGAGGGAUUGUUCCUCUGUGUAAGUAUGUCUUAAUGGGCUUUUAAAUUUAGAUGCUUUGUUAGAUAAUUUUUCAUUGUGGCUGAAACGUUAAAGCGUACUCCAUAUAUUAUUAUACAAUUAGAAGGACAUUUAAAAAAAAAAAACUUUCUACUGAUGACAUGUGAUGUAUUGUACUAUGUUCUAAAUAUGCUGAAAAAUUUCUCGCCUCAUUGACCGUUUUCAUUGACUAAACAUCGAUUUCUUUUAAACUUUUGAUUAAAAUGCUUUUUUCUAGUUAAUUAAGCCAUUUUAUGUACAAAAUUACACUUAUGAUAUAUUUUCUUUGUCAAAAGAUAAAGUUUUAUUGAAUUCCAAUAUAAACGUUUUCAUUUUCAGCAAGAAUAUUAAAAAAAAAUCUGGAUCAAGAACAUCCCACCGGAAAUCACCUCCAUGCGAGGUAACAUAUGAGGCUACAGCAUCCAUAACGACAUUUCCUUUUCGCUUUACAUACAAAAACCUCACCUCUCCUUGUUGAGACACCAAACAUAUAAUGUCACGAAUAAAACAUUCCAAACUAGCAUCUAUAGAAUACGCUUCUUGAAGCAUUCGAAUCAACGACUGAGAAUCAGAUUCGAUUUCCACCAACGCAGCACGAAUCGCCGCAGCUUCAGCCAUAGCCGCGUUGUUGAAGAAUAAACCCCCUGCGCCACCCGCCAUUUGCAACAACCCUGCGAAAUCCCUCAUAACCCAUCUGUAUCCUCCCUGUAAAGACUUCCCACACCAGGCACCGUCACAAUUAACCUUUAGUACACCAUAGGUGGGCCUCCUCCACCGUACCUGCUGCUCAGCAAAAAUAGCACCAUUCGUUUCCACAUAGGAGUCAGCAGCCUGCUGAUUGGUAAUAUGGCAUGCUUUAAAUUCUAGGAGUAGAUGCCGCACCAAAUUAACCCCAUCCAUAGGAUUAAUUAAUGUACCUUUGAAAACCAUUGCAUUUCGACUCUUCCAGAUUCUCCACUAGACAAACACGCACUCCUGCAAAAGAAGACAUACCAUUGCUAAAUGAAAACGUACCAAUGCCAAAUUAAAAUAUAUCGACGCUAAAUCAAAAUGUAUUGAUGCGAGGUGAAUAAGUCUCAACACAAAAUGAAAACGGUCAAAUUAAAAUGUAUCGACCAAAUUUAUUUACCGGUAUUAGACAAAGUACGGACCUAAUUUAUUUACCCGUUCUAUACAUGUCACUUCAAGUAAUGCUUAGAAAGUACAUGCCUACUAACACACAAUUAACUUUAUAAAUUAAAUAUGAAAAUAGACGUACAAAUCAACAAUAUUAAUAAAAUCGCUUUGAAAAAUAUGUAUAAAGUUAAAUUGAUUAUAGAAACAAACGUACCAAUCAACAAUAUGAGUAAAAUUGCUUUAAAAAAUAAUAUAUAUAUAUAUAUAUAUAUAAUCAAACGAUUGUGGUGGCACUAGUGGCGGUUGUGACAUUCGCUAAAUUGCUCCGGUCAUUAGUAUGGAUAAGUAUGUAAAUGGAUAGAGAUAGGGAAGCAAACUCAAGAUGUAUGUGGUUCACCCAGAUUGGCUACGUCCACGGAGUAGAGGAGUUCUCAUUAGUUGUGAAGGGUUUACACAAGUACAUAGGUUCAAGCUCUCUUUUAGUGAGUACAAGUGAAUGAUUUAGUACAAAUGACAUUAGGGAAUAUUGUGAGAGAAUGAUCUCUAUUUAUAGAAGAGAGUUUCUAGUUUCAUUCUGACUUUGACACGUGUCGUGUUGUGAUUGGCUUCUGAUGUUGACACGUGUCGCGAUAUGAUUGGCUUCUGAUGUCGACACGUGUCGCGCUGUGAUUAGCCUCCUGGUUGGAGGGAAACUCUUCUAGGUCCUUGAUAGUAUAACGUUGACCCGUGCUCAGUAGUUUCGGGAUUGGUCAAGUAUGGUACAAACAGUGCUCCCCUAAGUUCCUGAGUGAGGGAAGCUCCUCGGUUGGGGACUUGCAAGAUCCAAGCCAUUGAGUAAUCACGAAACUUCUAAGUACCGAAGUGUGGUAUCAUUUUCACUUGUCUUAUCUGUCUCAUACGUAGAUGUGGCAUCUUCUCUGGAAGUACUUUUCCUCCAUCCAGGGGUGAUAUCUUUAACCGAUGAAGAUGCACAAGGUAAUGUAUCAAUUUCACUUGAAGCUUACUUGUAGUUUUGGGCUUGGUCAAAUGCGAUACAAAACCCUAUAGUAGGAGCCCCCCAAGUCGCCGAGCUAGGAGAUUUGCCGAAUGAGGUAACAGACAAGGUAAGCAAUCAGACUUCCAAGCAAGCAACCUGGAUCGGAGGUUCGUCUUCGGAUUCCGGUUGAUUGUUCUUCUUCUCCUUAUGUCGUAAACAACAACAAGGAUAAGGAGAAGCAAAUGGAGAAUAGAUGAUAUGAGAUACUUUUACUUUUGAAGAAGUAUUUUUCCACAUGCGUAUUCUUGAACUGGGCUGGAGGGUUUUCUAGUUUCUUUCAGAGUAUAAGGCUAACUCAAGAAUUUGAGGGUCAAAACAAGUCCAUCAAAUCUAGAGUACGUUUGACCUUGAUGAUAUGUGAUACUUUUGUUGUUGACAAAGUAGUGGAUGUAUCGACACGUGUUCUGUUACGCUUGUCUCCACAUGCUUCCUUGUAUCCUUCUCACUUGCCCUAUCUGUUCCUCAGGCAGAUGUGGUAUCUUCUAUGGAAGCAUAAGAUGUUGAAGAUGAGUACUCGAGAGCAAUGUCAGGUAAGUAAUCAGGCAAGGGGUUCCAGGCAGUCAGUUCCUGACUGGAAGCUUGAUUCCAAGUGCUGACUGAUUGCUCUCUUUCUCCUUGUCUUGCAGGUAAGAACAAUGCCAAAGGAAAAGACAGGGAAAAAGCAUGAUAUGGGAUACUCUUGCUUUUAACCCUGAUGAUAUGAGGUACUCUUGCUCUGGUGUGGCUUGUUUGCAUAGGUAUUAUCGGGAGGAAAAGAAGCUGAGUAUUUCGAGAGACUUUGCUGAGAGUGCCCUCUCGGAUGUGAAGAAAAGUUGAGCAUUUUUUUUAUUUGCAGGUCUGCCUAGCUGUGGAGGAUGGAGGUCGACAUAUAUAGGAGUCUCCUUAACAACAAGUAGUAGUGCUAUUCAUUUACCCUUCUUGGUCAUAGCAAUGUAGUGGGAGCUGCAAGCUUCACGUGUUUUAACUUUGUCAAAGCACUUUGAAAAAGUGGUCUGUGGUAUCUGGAAAGCUGAUGUUGCGUGUGAAGAUUGCAGACAAGCUUUAUCCAAGGAAAUCAGGCUCUCGAAGUUCGGAGAGCGGUGCCUCUUCGGUUUUCGAACAGGCAAUCUUGUCAAGGAUCUGGCUUUCGAGAUUCAGAGAACGGUGCUUCUUCAAUUUUUGAGAACGCAAUCCUGUUUGGGGUCUAACUCUUGAGAUUUGGAGAGCAGUGUCUCUUCGAUUUUUGAGAAAGUAAUCAUGUUGGGAGUCUGGCUCUCGAGAUUCGGAUGGCGGUGCCUCUUCAAUUUUUUAGCACAUAAUCCUGUUGGGAGUCUGGCUCUCGAGAUUUGGAGAGCGGUGCCUCUUCGAUUUUUGAGAAAGCAAUCAUGUUGGGAGUCUAACUCUUGAGAUUCGGAUAGCAGUGUCUCUUCAAUUUUUUGAGAAAGUAAUCCAGUUGGGAGUCUGGCUCUCGAGAUUCGGAGGGCGGUGCCUCUUCGAUUUUUGAGCACGUAAUCCUGUUGGGAGUUUGGCUCUCGAGAUUCGGAAAGCGGUGCCUCUUCGAUUUUUGAGCAAGUAAUCUUAUUAGGAAUGUUUUCUCGAAUGUGAGUAAAGGUUGGGCAUUUUUGCCAGUUUGCCUUGCCACGGAGCACGGAAGUUGACACACAUUGGGACUUUCUACUUAUCAAGGAGUGGAGCUGUUCCUUUACCCUUGUGGGUAAUAGUAGGGUAGCUGGACCUUCAAAAUUUAUGUGUCUAAACUUUGUCAGAGAUUUUUGGCAAAGUUAUAUAUGGUACCCGAGAAACUGAUGUUGCGUGUGGAAAGUGGUGCCACUUCAAUUUUUGAACCAAUUACCCUAUUGCCCUUUCUUUUAUAAGGGCACCAAUUGUGUGCAAGGAGUACAUUCAGAGAGUUAUUGCUUGUAGGAAUUUUCCCCUUACUUCAGAGAUUUCUUUCACCUAAUUUUUCCUUCAUCAUUUCUGAGAAUGUCUGACCCAUAUAACCGUCGUUUUGACUUGAACUUUGGUGAAGAGGUAGCCAUACCUUCUCAAGACAACAUAUAACGGCCAUCUUUCUUAUCCUCUACUGGUCCUCUUACCGUUGGAGACUCUGUGAUGAAGAAUGAUAUGACCGCUGCGGUGGUGGCCAAGAACCUUGUUACUCCCAAAGAUAACAAACUACUUUCCAAACGGUCUGAUGAGUUGGCUGUUAAGAAUUCUCUGGCUCUUAGUGUUCAGUGUGCAGGUUCUGUGUCUAAUAUGGCCCAACGCCUAUUUGCUUGAACCCACCAAGUUGAAUCAUUAGCGACUGAAGUGAUAAGUCUCAAACAGAAGAUCAGAGGGCUCAGGCAUGAGAAUAAACAGUUGCACAGGCUUGCACAUAACUAUGCUACAAACAUGAAGAGGAAGCUCGACCAGCUGCAGGAAUCUGAUGGUCAGAUUUUAGUUGAUCAUUAGAGGUUUGUGAGUUUGUUCCAAAUGCAUUUAUUGCCUUUGUCUUCUGGGGCUGUACCGCGUAAUGAAGCUCCAAAUAAUCAACCUUUGGUGCCUCCUCCUUUUGGGAUUCUGCCUAGUACCGAGGCUCCGAAUAAUCAUCCUAUGGUGCCUCCUCUUUUUAGGGCUAUGUCGAUUGCUAAGACUUCUCCUGAGCAACCUUUGUGAAGGCUCCCUCUUAUUUGUUUAUUUUGAUUCAUGUAUAUGUACAUAUUUGUAAUUUAUCGGAGAUAUCAAUAAACAAGUUUUGCUUCAUUUCAACGUAUUGUGUUAAAUACAUCAAGGCCUUCUUCACUUAGUUCUUUGAAUUUUUCCUUUUGUUGAAACUUGUAUGUUGAAGCUUUGUGAGUGAAGCAUGUAGGUUGAGGUAGUGCUCCCCUAAUUUUCCGAGUGAGGAAAACUUCUCUUUUGGAAACUUGAAAAAUUCAAGUCACUGAGUGGUCGUGAGACUUCCGAGUAUCAAGGUGCAGUAGCAUAUGGUAGGAGUCCCCCAAGUUUCCGGUCGAAGUAGUUGACGAAUGAGGCAUUUCCUUUCUAAGUGGUAGCUCAAAACUCCUUCUUCAUAUAUAUUUGUUAUGAAAGUUGUUAGACUCAUAGAAUAGGAGGCCUAGGCAAUUUUUAUUUUAUUUUUUUGAAUUUUUUUUUUUCGAUUUUUUUUCGAAUUUUUGAAUUUCCAAAAUUUUGAAUUUUUGAAUUUUUGAAUUUCUGAAAAUAUAUAUAUAUAUAUAUAUAUAUAUUUUUUUUUUAAAGCUUUGUAAGUGAAGCUUUGGUGUUGAAGCUUUGAGGUUGAAGCUUUGUUGGGCACCAUGAAUUGAUUUUGCUUCACACUAUCUUGAUCAAGAUAGUGUGAAACUUUUGUAGGUGAAGCUUUUGUAUUGAAGCUUUGUAGGUAAAGCUUUUGUAUUGAAGUUUUGUAAGUGAAGUUUUUGUGGGUGAAGUUUUUGUGGGUCAAGCUUUUGUAGGUGAAGCUUUUGUAUUGAAGCUUUGUAAGUGAAGUUUUUGUGGGUGAAGUUUUUGUGGGUCAAGCUUUUGUAGGUGAAGCUUUUAUGGGUCAAGCUUUUGUAGGUCAAGCUUUUGUAGGUCAAGCUUUUAUGGGUCAAGUUUUUGUGGGUCAAGCUUUUGUGGGUGAAGCUUUUGUAGGUGAAGCUUUUGUGGGUGAAGCUUUUGUGGGUGAAGCUUUUGUGGGUGAAGCUUUUGUGGGUGAAGCUUUUGUAGGUCAAGCUUUUAUGGGUCAAGCUUUUGUGGGUCAAGCUUUUGUAGGUGAAGCUUUUGUGUUGAAGCUUGCUUUUGUGGGUGAAGCUUUUGUAGGUGAAGCUUUGAAGUUGAAGCUUUUGUUGGGUACCAUGAAUUGAUUUUGCUUCACACUAUUUUCAUCAAGAUAGUGUGAAGCUUUUGAGAAUUUGUAGUUGUCCUCCAUUGAUGAAGCUUUGGAGUUGAAGUUUUAUAGGUGAAGCUUUGGAGUUGAAACUUUUGUUGGGUACCAUGAAUUGAUUUUGCUUCACACUAUCUUGAUUAAGAUAGUGUAAAGCUUUUGAGAAUUUGUAGUUGUCCUCCAUUGAUGAAGCUUUGUUGAAUUUCCACACUGUUGAGCAAGAGAUUGUGAUGCAAGCCACACCUUGUAUUAGUCGAAGGUUUGGAUGAACCAUAUAAAUUGAAUUUGCUUCGAAGGUCUAAGAAUUGUAGUUGCCCUCCAUUGAUGAAGCUUUUGUUGGCACCAUAAAUUGGUUUUGCUUCACACUGUCAUGAUCAAGAGUGUGUGAAGCUUUUGAGAAUUGUGGUUGAACUCCUUUGGUGAAGCUUUUUUUGGCACCAUAAAUUAGUUUUGCUUCACACUGUCUUGAUCAAGAGUGUGUGAAGCUUUUGAGAAUUGUGGUUGCCCUUCAUUGAUGGAGCUCUUGUUGGCACCAUAAAUUGGUUUUGUUUCACACUGUCUUGAUCAAGAGUGUGUGAAGCUUUUGAGAAUUGUGGUUGAACUCCUUUGAUGAAGCUCUUGUUGGCACCAUAAAUUGGUUUUGCUUCACACUGUCUUGAUCAAGAGUGUGUGAAGUUUUUGAAAAUUGUGGUUACCCUCCAUUGAUGAAGCUCUUGCUGUUGGCACCAUAAAUUGGUUUUGCUUCACACUGUCUUGAUCAAGAGUGUGUGAAGCUUUUGAGAAUUGUGGUUGCCCUCUAUUGAUGAAGCUUUUGUUGUCACCAUAAAUUGGUUUUGCUUCACACUGUCUUGAUCAAGAGUGUGUGAAGUUUUUAAGACUUGUGGUUGAACUCCUUUGAUGAAGCUCUUGUUGGCACCAUAAAUUAGUUUUGCUUCACACUAUCUUGAUCAAGAGUGUGUGAAGCUUUUGAGAAUUGUGGUUGCCCUCUAUUGAUGAAACUCUUGUUGGCACCACAAAAGCUUGACCCACGAGGCUUAUGUAUUGAUGAAGCUCUUGAUGCAUAAAAUCAGUGAGGACUUUGGUACAACAUAAAGUGUUAAGUUUGUGACAUUCGCUAGAUUGCUCCGGUCACUAGUAUGGAUAAGUAUGUAAAUGGAUAGAGAUAGGGAAGCAAACACAAGAUGUACGUGGUUCACCCAAAUUGGCUACGUCCACGGAGUAGAGGAGUUCUCAUUAAUUGGGAAGGGUUUACACAAGUACAUAGGUUCAAGCUCUCCUUUAAUGAGUACUAGUGAAUGAUUUAGUACAAAUGACAUUAGGGAAUAUUGUGAGAGAAUGAUCUCUAUUUAUAGAAGAUAGUUUCUAAUUUCAUUCUGAUAUUGACACGUGUCGUGUUGUGAUUGGCUUCUGAUGUUGACACAUGUCGCGCUAUGAUUGGCUUCUGAUGUCGACAUGUGUCGCGCUGUGAUUGGCCUCCUGGUUGGAGAGAAACUCUUCUGGGUCCUUGAUGGUAUAACGUUGACCGGUACUCAGUAGUUUCGGGAUUGGUCAAGUAUGGUACAAAUAAAAACAAUACCAAACGAAGCAUAAAACCUAUUAACAAGAAGUUGAGGAAUCUAAUUUCCUCAUGUCUUAAUUAGCAUCUUAACACUAAUUAGCUCGCAAAGAUUUGACUAAUAUACAUAACAAUAAUCAAUCUAACCGAUGAAGAAGCCAUGAAGCCACUCUUCAAUGUUGACCUUCUCCUCCACGUCAAAUUCUCAAUGUUAACAAUAGGUCUUAGUUCAAUUGCGAGAAUAUUCAUGGCUGAAGCGACCGGCAUACUCUCGUAGUGACUCGUCCGGCUUCUGGCAAAUAGUGUACAAGUAAUCUGCAGAAUGCAAGUGAUCGAUCUGGAAGAUGUGUUGAGAGACAAACAGUUUCCUUAAUUCCUCAAAUGAGUCUACUGUCUCAGGUGGAAUACGGCAAUACCAGUUUAGAGCUCCGCCAGAAAUAGUGGAGGGGAAGAGAAGACAUCGCUCUUCGUCGGUGUGCAUUCGAUAUGCCAUGGUGGACUCAAAGAGGUUAAAGUGUUCAAUUAGGUCCUCCCUUCCUGUAUAGAGUUGUAAACCAAGCUUUUGUUUUGUCUUCGCUUGAAGGGGCGUGUCGAUGAUCCUUCUUAUGAGAAGGCCAAGCCUGGGUUGGUUCCAGUCAGGUAUCUCGGCCUAACGUUUGGCAUUCAACUUGUUUACUUCCUCAAGGAGCUGUAGGGCAAUGGGGUCCUGAGUGGAGUCAUGUGUCACUGGAAUUUUCUUUCGUAAGUCUUCAUCGCCUCUUGGAAGUAGGAAAGUUUAAGCAAUGACGUGUGGUUUUUUCAUGGACUCGCUGUACUGACUUUUAGGGCAAGUAUGUCGGAAUACCUCAGAGUCCCCCAUACCUUCAUGUUCCUCUGGGACCAGUCAUUCCUUCCCUAGAUUGGCAGUUGGCCUGGGUCGUGGGAGGGGAUCGAGUCUUUCAGAAACCCUUGGGUCAUUGAUUUUCGAGCAUAUGUGGAGGGGAUUUUUUCGACGUUGCUUUAGGAAGUCUCGGCAGUCACGAUAAAUGGUUUUCGAUCCUUCCAACCUUUCUGCAAGGAGGUGUCUUCCUCCACUUUUUCUACUUCGGGUCGAAGCAUCUGGGUUGAAAGAAGUCUCAUGUUGAUCAAUGUUUUGAUGAUUAGCUCGCUCCUCAUCAGGGAUACCCAUGUCGAAUGGAGGUGACCCUCCGUGUUGGGGGGCACCCAGAUGAUAGUUGAUGUCCAUAGGGGUAACGAGCUUCCGUGUUUGAGUACGCUUAGUUUCGUGGAGUGUCUUAAAGAGCUUCUCAUACUGCUCCUGGAGGACCUCAUUCUUCAUUUCUAUCUUGUUGUUCUAAGCUUUUAGCUCAUCGACUUUAGCUUGAAAAGCAACCAUCUUUCCUUCAUUCUUUCGUUUCUUCGCACUAGGUGCAAGAGGGGUGUCAUUCUAUGUGCUGUGGCUUCCUUCGCUCCCCAUGUUGGAAAGGGAUGCCUGGUCAAAAUAGAGUGUACGAAUGGUGGAAACCAGCUUGGCAAAGCUGAAGAGAGUGGGAAUAAGUGUCGUUCCCACAGACAGCGCCAAAUGUUGAUACACAAAAUCAGCGAGGACUUUGGUACAACAAAAAGUGUUAAGUUUGUGACAUUCGCUAGAUUGCUCCGAUCAUUAGUGUGGAUAAGUAAGUAAAUGGAUAGGGACAGGGAAGCAAACACAAGAUGUACGUGGUUCACCCAGAUUGGCUACGUCCACGGAGUAGAGGAGUUCUCAUUAAUUGUGAAAGGUUUACACAAGUACAUAGGUUCAAGCUCUCCUUUAGUGAGUACUAGUGAAUGAUUUGGUACAAAUGACAUUAGGAAAUAUUGUGAGAGAAUGAUCUCUAUUUAUAGAAGAGAGUUUCUAGUUUCAUUCUGACUUUGACACGUGUCGUGUUGUGAUUGGCUUCUGAUGUUGACACGUAUCGCGCUAUGAUUGGCUUCUGAUGUCGACACGUGUCGCACUGUGAUUGGCCUCCUGGUUGGAGGAAAACUCUUCUGGGUCAUUGACGGUAUAAUGUUGACUGGUGCUCAGUAGUUUCGGGAUUGGUCAAGUAUGGUACAAACACAAAAUGUAUUGAUGCUAGGUGAAUAAGUCGCAACACAAAAUGAAAACGGACCAAUGCCAAAUUAAAAUGUAUCGACCAAAUUUAUUUAUUGGUACUAGAUAAAGUACGGACCCAAUUUAUUUACCCAUUCUAUACAUGCCACUUCAAGUAAUGCUUAGAAAGUACAUGCCUACUAACACACAAUUAACUUUAUAAAUUAAAUAUGAAAAUAAAUGUACCAAUCAACAAUAUUAAUAAAAUCGCUUUGAAAAAAAUGUAUAAAGUUAAAUUGAAUAUAGAAAUAAACGUACCAAUCAACAAUAUGAGUAAAAUUGCUUUAAAAAAAUAAUAUAUAUAUAUAUAUAUAUAAUCAAACGAUUGUGGUGGCACUAGUGGCGGUUGUGGUGGCAGUUGUGACGAUUGUGGUGGCGGUGCAGUGGUGGUGGUGGUGGCAGUGGCGGUGAUGUAAGGUUAGUGUUUAUAGUGGUAAGUGGUGGCAAUCAUUUUAUUCUCCAAGGAUUAAAUGUGUGUAGAAGGAUAAAAUAUGUUAUUUUAAAAAACUAAUGAAGGUAUUACAAGAAUUGAAAAUUUUCAUUAAAUGCUCAAUUCCUUUUAAAAACAACCUAUAUGCUUCUUUUAAAAAUUGUUGUAUGGAGACUAUUGUUUUUAAAAUAAACAGAAUAUUUUAUUUUUACCAAACACUUUUUACUGCUUAACUAUAAAUGAAACAAAUUUCGAUAAAAAAAAAACAACACCAAACGAAGCAUAAAACCUAUUAACAAGAAGUGGAGGAGUCUAAUUUCCUCAUGUCUUAAUUAGCAUCUUAACACUAAUUAGCUCGCAAAUAUUUGACUAAUAUACAUAACAAUAAUCAAUCUAACCGAUAAAGAAGCCAUGAAGCCACUCUUCAAUGUUGACCUUCUCAUCCACGUCAAAUUCUCGAUGUUAACAAUAGGCCUUAGUUCAACAAUGAGCAUAUAUUAUUCCGUUAUACUUUCAAAACCAAUAUGAACUCAAACAUUCGGCUAAAAUACACCUCAUAUUCGAACAAUAUAUUUUGUUAAUUGUGAAAGGUGAUUUGGAAGAUAAUUGUGAUACUUGAUGCCAUGCGCGCUCUCGAUUUCUAACUACUCAUGCCGCCAUUGUCAUUGGGUAUGACCGGUGACAACUUGGUGGAAACGUAGCAAUUCGACACGAUUAUUCUCCAAACAUAUGAUUGUUGAGAGCCUGAAUCCUAUGUAAGGGUGGGCAACGGUUAUGCCAGACGGGUAACCGCGGUUAUUUACUUAUAACUGUUUAUGCUCAUACUCGCAUAACCGUUUACCCAUUUGGUAAUUGCCUAAAUUGUUAUACUCAUACCUAUAACCGUUUAUAAACGGUUAACCAUACCAAUAAUCGCAUACCCAUUUAACCGUAACCGUUUAAUACCCGUUUACUCAUUUUUAACUUGUUUAUCUUUUUCCCAUUUUUAACUUGUUUAUCUUUUUUUUUUACCAUUACCCAUUUUUCACCCAUCUACAUGUUUUUUAACAAAUUGAAAUUUUAAAAAAAAUUUGUCAUAAUUUUUUUUGACAAUUAAACACCGUUAUAGGGGUACAUUCAUUAUACAUUUCCUUAUUUUAAUUUUUUAAGUCCUUAUACCGUUUCAAUAAUUGAAAUAAUAGUUUACAGACGAUAUUUUUAAGGGGUGUGAUAUCCACACACCCCAUUUUACUUCUCACACACCUUUUUAAUUUUCGACCGUCGGAUCAGAUGAAUUGAAGAAGAUCAACGGACAAUAAUUAUUAAAGGUGUGUGAGAAGUAAAAUAUGGUGUGUGGAUAGCACACCCCUAUUUUUAACUGUUACCAAUGAAGGUAAUAUAAUAUUUGCUAAGUAUUCUUGGGUUAUGAAAACUGUUUAGAAGACAGUAUUUUUGAGUUAUUUAACCCAUAGUGCAAAGUAUUAACAUAAUAUAUAUAAUGAGCUACAUUAUUUUAUAAUUAGCUAUAUAAACCAUGCACUAUAGUCAAUAGCAUCAGAGGUGCAAUUUGGGCUGAGCCAACCCGAACCCGCCCAUGUCUAACCUGACUUUAAACUCGAAUAAGCGAAUUUUGUUGUUGUUAUAACCCGCCUGAACCCAACCCGAUUUCAACCCGUUCAUUGAUUGGGUUGGAUUGGGUUGAUCAUUUGUCCAUCCCAACCCAAUCCAAUUAACCAAACCCUAUUAGGUUGAGCUGUGCAACAUACUUCUCAAUAACCUUUGCACCUUUGCACCUUUGCACCUUUGCACCUUUGCACUUUCAUGAGAACCUACUGAUAUGAUAUACAAUUUGACUUGAAAGGAAUCAUAUUAAGUUUAUUUUGCUUUUCACAUCACAUCCUGUAGAACAACUUCCUUUAUUAAAUUAAUAUUGCAACUAUUCGACCUCUCUUUGAGAUCUGCUUCACAGUUUGAGUUGUGAUUGUUUCUUAUGCUGAUUCAGACGAAGUAGGCUAUUGAGCAAGUAAAUUUGAGGGAAAGUGAUUUUAAGGUCAGUUGUUUGCUAAUACAAAUAGGUUGACAUCAUUGUUGAAAAACAUUAAACACUACUUGAAAAAGUUAGGCAACCCAAACUCAACCCAAGUAAAUCCAAACCCGAUUAAACCCGAGCCCGACUAAACCCGAUUAAAACCCAAUCCGAACCCGAACCCGAAUUGUAAAAGUUGGGUUAGGAUUUGGUUGAUUUUCCAACUCGCCCGAGUUGCACCCCUAAAUAGCAUUGAUCUAAGUUUUGUCCUAUAGAGAACAUGGUUUGUGUUAAUUUUACAUAUAUAAAAUAAAUGGGUAAACGGUUACCUGUUUAUAACCGUUAUUUAUACCUAUAACCGUUUAUUUAUCUAAAUAGUUACCUAUAACCAUAACCGUAAAGUUUAAAUAAGUGGGUAACUGCGAUUACAAGGUAUUUUACCCAUAUUCCCAUGUCAGAAAGUAAAGCAUUGCCGUAUAAUUUAAAUUAUCUUAGAUCAGUUGAUUUUAGACCGAAUGUUCACAUUCUAAAAUUUCUAAUAACGUCUGCGUUGGUUGUGAUAUGAGUUCUGCACCUCCGAUAUUGUAAAGCAUUAAAUAAAGGCCCAAUUACAAAUUCAUAAUUUUGGCCCAUGGUUUUUGGGCCCAGAGUAAGGUUGCGUAAUUUCCAGGGUCAAGUUUUAAAUUUGAUGCUUAAAUAGCAAGCCCAACCUUUUGCAAUCUCUUACAUGGGCAUUUUCCAGUCUUUACUUUUCAUUUUCAUUUUUACUUUGGAAUUCUAAUCCUGUAUAACAGUACAUGUGGAAAAUCUAUAUCUUUUUUUCUUUUUCUGCAUAUUCCUGUUUAGUUUUGUUAUUUGAUUUUCUAAUACUUUAUUUCAUUCAAAGGUUAGAAAUGAGCAAGAUUUGUGUGUGGGAGAAAAAAGUGUGUGCGACAAUCAUUUCUCAUUUCAUUUUUUAUCGAGGAGAUAAGAGAUUCAAACUUAAAAUCUCUUCUAACAUUGAGAAGUAUCACUAUUGUACUAACGACUAGUUGGUAAUCUUGCACAUGUGUUCAAAACCAAAAAAUUUCUAUUUUGUAUAAUGAGAUGCAAAAUUUAGAUUGCAACGAAGUUCUUCUUUUUAUGCAUGUGAGAGUGAAAUUGCAAUAAAUCGAACAACUUCAAUUACAUAUAUAAGAGUUUCUUUUCUUGUUUGUUAGAAAAUUUUGUGCAGAACGGUUUCAUAUUACAUAUGUAUCUUUUUACUUUUUAUCACGUAUCUUGUCAGGUGACUUCGCAAUGAGAGAUAGAAACACGUCAAGAUACAACGAUUGUUCCAAGAAAGUUUUCUAGUGGUAUGAGAAAGUUAACGAAAAGGGUUGGGACUUGGGAGGCGUUACGUCGUUAUCUGUAACGGUCUUAACAUGGAGCCAAGAUGGGAUGGUAGGGUUUUCGUGUGCAUGAAGGAUGCAGAUGACCUGAUCUGCCUUUCCCUUUGUGCUUGUGACCUCCUGCAAUUUCCAUAUCGACAAAACUUUUGCCCCUUGAUGGAAAUAUCCAACUUUGUGGGGGCCACCAGUCCAAUCCAUGCAUGGAUCCGGCCCGUUCAAUUUUCAUCGCCAGAAUUCAGUUGAUCACCUUGAUAUCAUGACCUAAUUCAAUCAUCAUUUGGAAGACUUUUUUGUCAAAUAAAACGAAAUAAUUGAUUAAUAUGAUUACAAGAUUAAUUCUUCAUUUUCAACAAUAUUGUAGGAUUUAUUUACUAGAGUGAUAGAAGAUUUGAACUUGAAUCCAGACCGCUUUAAAAACUCGUAAAAAAAUAGUAUCAAUGACCAUUUCCUCCUGUUUUGGAGGCAAAUUUGGUCCACUGUUUUUGUGCAUGAAUAAUGGUUGCCUUUAGUAUUAUUUGCUACUUUUUCUUCAGUAAAACAAUAAUACUGUCACUUUCUAUGAUGCCCAUUUCACACUAGCAUGCCCUGGAAGAACUAAAUAUCUUUUGUCAACAAAAAUCUUCCAUAGGUUGUUCCAAUCCAAGCUAGCCUUGGGUUGUCAUGAUGAUUUUGGUUUUAAUACAAAGUAAAUGGUAUAUAUCAACCGACCAACUGUAUAAGUUACUGUCAGUCGUUAAUAUAUGAACGUUGGUUCAUAUAAAUCUCAUAGGUUCCAUUUGGUGUACGAAAUGAAAGGUUGUGAGUAACAGUUAUAUCCUUAAAGAAAAUAUUGACAAAUUAUGUAAUGUACCCAUCCUGCAGUCCUCAUGUUGGCCAUAACCCUACCCAUGUGCAAAUACAAGUGAACAUAUAUCUCUUUUAAUGUAAUCAAAAUUAAAUUGAAACUUAAAACUUAAAUAAGAUUAGGGUUUUGAAUAUUCUAACGUGCAUGGGUUUGGUGACAUAGCAGGUUUAUUCGGUCCCUCGUACACUAGCAAAAGAGCUUGAAAUUAAUUAAUAUAAUUUUAAUUAAAUUAAAUAAUAAUGAUUAAGCUGAGUAAGAAGGAAGAAAGAUCUCCUAAUUAAUCAUCUCCCAAUUGGAUGCAUGACAGUAGCAUUUGGCCCACGUUCCGGAGUAGGCUCCAUCCUCCAUAACAUGCACAUGAGCUGCCAACCAUUUGGUCUCUCUGGGACCGCAUCAUAUUCAUCUGCAGUUAUUUGGAUUCUCAUACGAUCGACACAGAGAGAGAGAGAGAGAGAGAGAGAGAGAGAGAGAGAGAGAGAGGUUUGCAUUGUGAUGAGUGUGAACCCAUGAGACGUUGCAUAGUAUUAUCUUCUGCUACUAUCCCUCCCCAUUGGUUCUGCAAACCCAACACCAACCAAGAUAAGCGUUAGGCUAGUCGGUCGCCUUACCGCUUCUGGUGACGGUAUACUGUUGAUGUAUGUAUAAAUAAUGAACGACUGAGUUUAGUAUUCAUCUAUCUCUUUUGAAAUACCAAACGUACAAUAUGUGACAUUUGUGUAACAAAAGCCGUCUCCUUAUUCUUAUACUUCCAACACCUAGAGUAGUACGUAGCAGUGGUAGUCUUAUCGCACUUACUGACCUUUUUGUUUCAAUUGAUUCUCUCGAUUGAUAAGUGGCCGGUGUUUGGUCCUAAAUAGAAAUUAGGUUAAAUUAUAAACAUAAUCUUUUUCACAAAUGUAUGUUUUACAAUAAGGUAGAAUAAUUAUGUUGACAAAAUUGAAGGUUUCAAUGUACGAUAGAUUAAUUGGAAUGUAGAUGAUUCUCAGUUGUUGAGGCAUUCACUUUAUUUGGUGCGGAUGUAUAAUUGAUGGACAGUCGUUCAUGCACGUGUGUUUGUAUGAAGAUAUGUAAAGCAACCCUCUAGAUAUGAAUAGACAUAAGGUCUUUGUAAGUUGGGCUACUACUAUAUAGCGAAUUAAUUUUAUGUUGAAACCUCAGCUUUAUUCAUGAUAUCAAAGUAGGGUGUUUCAUGUGUGAAGCCCAACGGCUACACGUGCUUCACAUCACUCAUUUUAUUUUGUCCAUGUGCUAAGCUUAAAAAUUCGUCACGUGAUGAGACGUGUUGGAGUAUUAAUCCUACAUCGAAAAGAAGGAAACUUGCAUUGACAAAUAAGAUACGCUAAUACCCAUAUUAUCAAUUAAUUUUAUAAAUUUUAUAGUAAAACCCAAACAUUUUUCAUAAUUUUCUUUGGAGUUAACUAAAGCCAGAAGUUUGUGGUGUUGUUAACUCACUACCUAGGAGUGGACAUUUUAACCGGUAAAUCGGGUCGAGAAAACCAAAAGAAUCGGGUUUGACAUUGUCACAUUCUUGUUGCAUUUUUUCCCAAAUACCGAAUGUAAUGUGCCAUUCUUGUUACGGACAAGGAUUGUCUGCCCUCCUAGUUGUGGUGCCCUUCUAUGCCCUCCUAUUUUGUGCGGUCACGGUUAAGCCACGUCAACAUUUUAUAUUAAUUUUUUAAUGAGAUAAUAAGACAAAAAACAAUAAAAAUAUAAAAUAUUAACGUGGCUUAACCGUGACCGCACAAAAUAGGAGGGCAUGGAAGGGCACCACAACUAGGAGGGCACCUUGUCCUUCUUGUUACAAAAGCCUCUUUAUUCUUAUCCAAUAGAAGUAGUACGUAGUCUUAUCUCACCUAAUGGUCUUUUCUGUCAAUUGAUUCUCUCAGUUUAUAUAUAAGCUUUGUUUGUUUCAAAAUACAAAUUAGCUAAAUCAUAAACGUAAUGUGUUUCUGUUUGGAUCUUACUGUACACCAUUGAUCUGUUUAAUUGAGGCUGUUGAAUUUUAAUAUUUUUCUUAAAUAUUACUAUUGCUGAUUCGAAUUCAAUAGAGAAAACCAGGCAUUAUCCAUUGCUGGUUGUUUGUUGGAGAUCCAUUUGUUGAUAAAGACUUACUCAAGUGAUGGCAAGGAUUUUCCAACUUGGCUUGAGUAAAGAAAAGAUAAAAGAAGGUACCAUCCAUUUGUGAUAUUAUCCCUUUGGCCAAUUUGAUAAUUUAUUCUUUUUGGCCAAUUUGAUAGUAUUUCCUAAUAGAAUGCUCAGUGUUCAUUAAGAUAAAGAUGGCCAUCAAAAGGCCUUUGGUAGCCACGGUAUGGACUUUACAACACGUUCAAGCGUAUUAGUCCUAUAAAUACAUAAAACCGUGUAAUGAGAAGGCAACCUUCAACUUAACAUACAAAUAUGCCUUGCACAAAUCUCGCUCUAGGCGAACACUUCUCACACUCAGAGAACUAACUAACUCACAUUUUGAGAAAUCACUAACUCUCCACUUUCCUAACUACUUAAAGCUCGAUUGAUUAUCUAUCCAAGUCUCAGCUGACGAGGAGUCCUUGAUUCUUUAAUUGAACGAGGUCACUUUACUAGCUUUCCAACCAAAUUAAGUGUUUUAUGCUUGGUUACUUCUGGUACAUUUUAGAGUUCGGUAUUCUGACGGUUGAACAACAUUUACCAUCAAGACAUUUAUCUCUUUCGAGUACGAGUAUCCUUACAGUUUAACUCCGAACUGAUCAGAGCACUUAUAUUUUCACAAAUAUAGUCGAGGCGGCCGAACCUGGUGCAAAAGAUCAUGAACUUCACAGUGACUAACAACCUUUUUGACAUCACCACCACAUUCAUUCUACUAACCGACCGAGUUCGAUGGCAAGUUAGCACGACCGCAUUCAUCAUAAUGACGUAGUUAGCUUUUUGUUAUUCAGUCUACGUGUAAGUAAACUUGAUAGUUUUUAAGGUCAACAAUUUCACAAAUUGUGCUUUACAUUCUAACAAGUUUUACGAUCUCAACUUAUACUAGACGAAGGCGGACGAUCGAUUGUUAGUUGUUGCUGCGAGUUUCAUUGUGAUUGCGGAUGUAUAAUUGACAUACAAUCGUAACGUGUGUUUGUGGGCAAAGCAACUCUCUAGACAUCAAAAGAUAAGGUCUUUAGUUUUAUUCAGAAUUUGAGGUGUCUAUAUAAGUCACAAAAACCAAGAAACCUCUCGAACUCGUACCUUGGAUGCAGUGGAUGGGUUCCUAUCACAUGGUUGUCGCCAAAGGCAACAGAAGAGUACUCGCUAUAAUACUAAAUUAACAUGGUCCACUAGACGGUGGCUUUCCACCCUUUUUGUCGAUCGUGAGAGUAUGAUUUGGCCAAAUGCACUGUUAUUCUCCCAAAGUCGAGGUCAAUUUAGUAAACUAAUAUAUAGAAGUUUUUAAAAGUCACUAGUCUAGUAGCGGGUAGAGGCCUGUCGCUUAGGGGGGCCUAGGUAAUUUUUUAUUUUUAAUUAAUUUUUUAUAUAAUAUAUAGAUAAAUAUCUACUUAUAUUUUUUUUAAAAUAUAACUGUAUUGAGAUACAUUAAUUAGAAAAUGGAACUAUAUAUAAAUUAUAAAGUAUUAGAAUUGAAAACAUGGGGAAUAAACAUAUAAUGAGUGUUCAUCUCAAUAUUUAACAAGUUUUUUACAAUUUAUUGAAAAAAUAAAAUGUAAAAUGAAAGUUAUCUAUUUUCUAUCUAAAUGAGAGUUACGAUCUAGACGAGCGCCUACGCAGAUCUAGACGCUCUUUCUUAGUUUUCAAACGUCUAGUGAUCAAUCAAAGCGAUGACUACCUGCUUAGCGCCUAGGCAGGCUUAAGCGAAGCUAGGCGGUAAUUUUUAAAAGAAUGUGAUAUAUAGUUAGUAAUGAUAGCUACAAGGAAGAAAGAAACAACCCCACUGUACGAAACCAAAAACACUAAGCUACGAUGUGUUCUUAUCAUCUUAAGUUGUCCUACGAAUAAGUUAUGAAACCUAAUAUUAUGUUGUUGACCUAACCAAGUAGCUAGUAGCUAGUAUCGUUCACAUCAUCACUCCUAAAGUAACUUGAGGUAAAUUAGUUGCAAGAUAGCUAGAAUACAGAUCCGUCAAGGGACAUUUUUGUAAGACACAUUUUUAUUGAAAGCGCUACAAAUUUUUAUCGAAAAUUCAAGUACAUCUUGUUGGAGCAUAACGUGGUAUUGUUUGCAUACAUCAUGUAAAACUUUUACAUGUUAGGAUUUAACAAAGCAAGUAUUUUACGUUUUCAUCUCUCACACUUCAUUGUGAUCGAAACUCAAAAGAAAGAUGAUAAUAAGGUCAACUAGUACCCUAAUGAAUAUGAUUUUUAAUUUUCCGUGUAUUGCAUUACGGUUAAAAUGCAAGAUUUUUCCAAUAUUAAACUAUCAUAAGUAGUGUGUGAUGUCAGAGAUAUUACGAGACGAAGAACUUGCUGGUUCUAGUAUGAAAAUUGUUUUUGAAAUUUUGAUUUAAAAUGAUUCAGUCUUCAUAGGUGUCGGCGGGUUGGAUUGGUUUUUAGCUUAAAAGACCAUUUCUGUCCAUUAAUGUUGGUAGUCAGUUGAAUCAAUUAUUUUUUCUACGUGUUUAAUCUUAAACAAAAUUAAAAAAACGGUUUGUUUGGGGAAGGCUGUUAUUUAUUUUUAUUAAUUUUGAAAAAGUCGCGGUAAAAUCCCGGACAACUGUCAGCAGCUGGAGUCACUGUCAGUCGCGCUUGCACGCCGCCGUAGCUUAUUAAACUCCGGUCACUCACUUCCGCUCGUCUUCCGCCGGAAACGCCCUUUUUUUUUUGCUCGAUCAAUAAAAAUUAAAGUUAAAAAAAAAAGAAAAGAAGAAGAACGUUUCUGAAUUACCAAUCAGCUCUUCAACUUCCAUUGGCCACAGCAGUACAGAGCACUGUGUCUCUCUACUUUCUCUCUCUACACACUCUCUCGUAUACUUUCUCUCUCUAUACAGAGAGAAACACAGCACGAGAGCUCUCUGUUGGUAUUUUUUACGGACGUACACGCGGUUGUGUAGGCGUAGAUUCCUUUGCCCCCACUGCGUCAUAUAAUUUUAUCAAUAAAUAAAUGCCAAAAAGCUCUCUCUCUCCCCGCUGAAACCGCAUUUAUACACAGAGAGAGGGCCUAUUCCUAACGUUUUCCUCAUUUUUAUGUGCUGCUUUGGUUUGCCUAUAUUCACUCCUCCUCCGGGGAUCUCAGCCGUCCUCCGCCGCUCUUGCGAGAAUUCACCGGCUCAGCUGUCACCGGCAAGUUUCUCUCUUUGCUUUGGUAUUUAUUUCUGCUGAAAUUUUAAGCUGUUUUUUGUUUGUAAAGUUGGAAACUUUGCUGUGAUGGAAUUGAUGGGUUUUGAGUAUGUUGAUUUUGUGCGGAUUUUGAGGGCAUAAGUGGGUAAUUUGUGGAUUUUGGGCAGAUGGGCAGAUGGGCAGCUGUUGUUUUAGCCCAGUGCAUACGUGGUCUACAGUGUACUGCUUUUGGAUUUCUGGGGAACCUAUAGAGAAUAAUUGCCAGAAAGAUAUGGUCUUGUAGUGUAAACUUAUUGAUUUCUGGGUGAAAUCGAAGGUUUCAUAUCUGGGUUUGUUUUAAUUCGUUGAAUUGGGGAUUUAUAUCUCGUGGAAUUGGACUAUUGGCGUUAUAAAAUUCUGGAGUUUUUGUGGAAUUUGGAUUUAUGGAGGCUUUUGGAGGCAGAGCUCGGAAUUUCUAUGGUACGAUGGUGCCGGAUUUGAAGGGGGCUGGGAAAAAGAGUUUGGAAUGGGAUUUGAAUGAUUGGAAAUGGGAUGGUGAUCUUUUUACCGCUAGUCCUUUGAAUGCUGUACCAUCUGAUUGUAGGAGCAGGCAGUUGUUUCCGCUUGGGCUGCCGGAAACUCCCUCCACUGCUGGUUUGUCCAACAGUUCUUCUUCUGGUUCGGACGGUAUCUGUCCAGGGAAUGAGAAAGGUAAAAGAGAGCUGGAGAAAAGAAGAAGGGCUAGUUUUGUAGAAAAUGAAGGGCUAACUGAUGAAGUUGGGUCUCUUAAUCUCAAGCUUGGCGGGCAAGCUUACCCAAUCAUGGAAGGAGAGGUACAACAUGGGAAGAAGACGAAGAUAGUUGGGACUACUUUAAACCGAGCAGUUUGUCAGGUGGAGGACUGUAAGGCUGAUCUUAGCAAUGCCAAGGAUUACCACCGACGACAUAAGGUCUGUGAUAUGCAUUCUAAGGCAACUAAAGCGGUGGUGGGAAAUGUUUUGCAGCGGUUCUGUCAGCAGUGUAGCAGGUUAGUUCAAUUCUAUGGUUGUCCUUGUAUGGUGAGAAAUAUUUCAAAUUUUCUUCAGUUAAGUUCUACGUCGUUUAUUCGGUGCUUUCUUAUAGACAUUGUUUCUAGAAGAUGAAAUACAGAGUUUGAUUUGUAAGUUUUAAAAAAAUUAUUUGUUGCUCUCAUGAUUUGGGUCCAUAGUUGUUCAUCACUGUGUUUGGUAUAGUCGAAUUUUGAAGAACUUUUUUGUUGAAUUUGGAAUGUGGUUAUACUUAUGGGCAGGUUUCAUGGCCUUCAAGAGUUUGAUGAAGGAAAGAGAAGUUGUCGUAGACGUUUGGCAGGCCACAAUAGGAGGAGAAGAAAAACACAUCCUGAUACUGUAGUUAAUGGAGGCUCAUUGAAUGAUGAAAGAGGAAGCAGUUAUCUAUUGAUUAGUUUGCUGAGAAUACUCUCCAACAUGCACUGUAAAUCUUUGUGUUAUUGCACAUUCAAUUUUUGGCUGCUUUGCCUGACAUUAAAUUGAUAUGCUAAGUGUAUGUUAAGUGGUUACCGGAUUGUGUGUUGAUUGCCAUAGACUGAUGUCAAAGUUCUUGUGGUCUUUUGCUCUUAGGUUUUGUCAUUAUUUGAUUGAGGCUUGUAGCAAAAUGAUUAUGUCAAUUAACAUUUAAUAACUCCACUCAUAAAUUUUUAUUUGUAAACAUACAACAUAUUACUUGAUGAGUCCUUAACUGCUUAAGGUGCUCUAUUUUUGUGUAUAAAUGACAAAGUGCUAGUUUCUCUGAAUUUAAUUUGAUGAAAAUUUGAAUAUUGAUGCUUACGCAUGAAAAGUUUUCAGUUUUUCAGAGGUUGAUUUGAUAGAAAGUUAGAAUUUUGUGCAGACCUUCAUGUCGAAAAAUAUUUCAAUUUUUAUAAUCCAGAUUACACCUUGUGUGCUUGAAUUUCAUCCCUUGAACCCUUGUUUUUUGCACUUUCUUUCUCUGAUUGUUGGACUGUCCAUAUUUCACAUUCUAGGAUGCAUGAAGGAAGGGCCUAUUAAAGGGAAUUCUAAUUAGGAAUUGUUAUUUAGGAAAUUAUGUCUCAGUGAUCAUGUUAUUAUAAUAUUUAUUUGAUUAUGUUUGUGUUUGUUUUUCUUCUCAUAAGUGUCUUACUCAACUCCACUUUUGAUGCCUAAAAUGCAGCUAAUAGUUCAGAUCAAACAAAGGAUCAGGAUUUGCUAUCUCAUCUUUUGAAGAAUCUAGCCAAUCUUUCUGGUACAGUUGAUGGAAGAAACAUGUCUGCAUUGCUUACGGCAUCUCAAGGUUUAAUAAAUGGCGGGGCAUCAAUUCAGACUGCACAAAAGGUCCCAGAUACAGUUUCCAACGGCUGUGAACCAAGUAAGCCUUCUGUUUCAGCCUCUAAAAUGGAUGAUUAUAUUAAUGGUGAGGACCCUUCAAGACCUAUACGACAGUGUUCUACGGUACCUGCAUCAGAUUUCAGGAGAAUAUCUUCAGUUGAUGCAGAUCAUGGAGGUCUACAAGUUGUUUCAGGUCUAAAUGCCACGAAGCCAUUUCCUUCAAGAGACAGUGUUCCAUCCACAUCAGUUGCACCAGAAGCUACAAUGGGGAGGAUGCAGUUAAAUGGCAUUGAUUUAAAUAAUACAUAUGACGAUUCCCAGGACUAUUUGGACAACCUAGGGAAUUCGCAUGCCCCUGUAAAUUCAGGGACAGUGGCUCAUGGUUUUCCCUUUUGGAUGCGUCAGGAUUCGCAAAAGUCUAGCCCACCUCAGACAAGUGGGACUUCAUGCUCAACUUCAUCAAGUUCUAGUGGAGAUGCUCAGGUAUAUUCUUGUUGUACUUGCAUCUCGUUCCUCGUUAUUGCUUGGUAUAUUAAUGCUUGUAUAUGCCAUAACCUGUCCUUUUCUGUUGGAUAAAAGAAUAGCUUUGUUCUCACUUUAAUUUGGCAUUUAGGUGACAAUGCUUUGCAUUCGACUUGUCCGUUUGUCUAGCCAAUUGAUUGAAAAAACAUGAAGUACUCGGCAUACCUAAUAAAUACUUCUGUUGUGACGUAAGAGUCAAGAUGGAUUCUCUUCUUUUGUAUAGUGCUUUGUAUGUAUAAAUGUGUGCGUAUGCUUCUGCUUGAUAAGGUUUAUAGAGUUGUAGUUAAACUACAGGAGGUUGCAGGCUAUAUCAGUUAGAGUUGAGUAUUUUUUAAAUAUUUUUUAUUAUGAAGGCCAGUGUGUAAAAUGUUACUGCACUGUUACGUCUCUUAACCACUCUUUUUCUGCCGUGUUUCAGAGUCGCACAGACCGUAUUGUUUUUAAACUCUUUGGAAAAGAUCCAAAUGAUCUUCCAUUUGUUCUACGAGCACAGGUAAUAUUUGGUGCCUUGAUUUAAUUCUUCACAAUGUAACUUGUGUUUCCUUGCACAUACAACAAUUUUAUGAAAUAUUUUGAAUAUCCAGAUUCUCAACUGGUUGUCCCACAGUCCUACUGACAUUGAAAGCUACAUAAGGCCGGGAUGUAUCAUUUUGACAGUUUACCUCCGUCUAGAAAAAUCCACGUGGGAGGAGGUAUGUUUCUGUGCUGAUGCCAAAAUGUUGAUUGCUGACCUUGUAUCAGGGAGAUCUCUUUUCUUGUCCUUAAUUGUUAUGUUUGCCUGCAGCUCUGCUGUAAUCUGGGAUCCAUUAUAAAACAACUUUUACAUGCUGCCAAUGAUCCUUUUUGGACAACAGGAUGGGUGUAUACUAGGGUGCAACAUUCUGUAGCAUUUACGUACAAUGGUUUGUUCUCUCUCUCUCUCUCUCUCUCUCUCUCUCUCUCUCUCUCUCUCUCUCUCUCUCUCUCUUAAUUAUUCAUUCAUAUAUUUUCUAGCUCAUUUAGUGAUUUACCAAUAGUUGUGUUAUGAAAGAAAAGACAUUUUAAAUAGUUAUGUCUGUACUGCAGGUCAAGUUGUCUUAGACACACCCUUACCUCUGAAAAGCCAUAAAAAUUGCAAGAUAUCAUGCAUCAAACCAAUUGCAGUUUCUUUAUCCGAAAGAGCUGAAUUUGUAGUAAAGGGGUUUAAUCUUUCUCGUGCCACCACAAGGUAUCCUUAUCUUUCAUUCAAGCUUCAUUAUGUAGACCACUCCAGUGUCAUAUGUUAUUUCUGAAUUAGUAACUAUCAGGAUAACUGGGAAGGAGGAAAGUACUAAGUCCUAGCUUGUGACAGGUUGCUCUGUGCUCUGGAAGGGAAGUAUCUAGUCCAAGAAACUUGUUAUGACUUGAUGGAUGGUGCUGAUACAACCUUUGCGAAUGAUCAGCUACAGUGCCUCAGAUUCUCCUGCUCUAUACCCAAUGUUACUGGCCGAGGACUCAUUGAGGUGCUGUUCCAUUCUUAAUAUAUGUUUUAUAUUUCCUUUGAAGUGUGCUUAUCAUUACUUAUUUAUUUAUUUUUAUUUCAGGUUGAAGACCAUGGUCUCAGCGGCUGCUUCUUUCCAUUUAUAGUUGCCGAGCAGGAAGUAUGUUCAGAGAUUUGUACCCUGGAGGGUGCGAUUGAGGUGGCUGAGACUGCAGAUAACAUCCAGACAGAACCUGAAAAGUUGGAAGCCAAGAACCAAGCGUUGGACUUUGUACAUGAAUUGGGUUGGCUCCUUCACAGAUGUCACACUAAAUUUAGACUUGGUCACGGGGAUCCCAACUUAGAACUAUUUUCUUUUAGACGGUUCAGGUUGCUUAUGGAGUUUUCCAUGGACCGUGAUUGGUGUGCUGUAGUGAAGAAACUCCUGGGCAUUCUGCUUGAGGGUACCGUUGACACUGGAGAACAUCCUUCUAUUGAGCUUGCGUUAUUGGAUAUGAGCCUCCUCCACGGAGCCGUGCAAAGAAAGUGCAGGCCUAUGGUGGAACUCUUGUUAAGAUUUGUCCUAGACAAAGGGUGGCAACAAGUUGACGGGGACGGCAGCAACUUCUUAUUUAAACCCGAUGCAGUUGGGCCCAUGGGAUUGACUCCUCUUCAUGUUGCAGCCAGUACUGAUGGAUGUGAGAAUAUAUUGGAUGCCUUAACUGAUGAUCCUGGAAAGGUAAUUUCUCAUUGUCUUCUUUGACAGUUUUCUUUCUAAUUGGAUGUAAAAAUCAGAACAGGUCUGCAUCAUUAUCCAUUUUUCUCCGUACGUGUUUGACCGUUUGCUCAUACAAAUGACUCAUGUCAGCUCAUUCUGUGUCUCACAUGAAUGUUGAUAUUUCAAAUCGUUGUAUUUUCAAGCAUACAAAUGUUGAUAUCUUUGCUUCUUUAGGUGGGAAUUGAAGCGUGGAAAAAUGCUCGAGACAGUACAGGAUUGACACCAAAUGAUUAUGCAUGCCUGCGAGGCCGCUACACCUAUGUCCAAAUUGUCCAGCGGAAAAUCAACAAGAAACAUGAAAGCGGGCACGUGGUGCUUGAUAUCCCUGGCGUUAUCUUAGACAGCAGCAGCAAGCAGAAACAAUUAGAUGGGCAUAAGUCCUCAAAAGUCUCCAUCUUGGAGACCGAAAGGAUCGAUAUGAAAGCAAUGCAGGCACAUUGCAAGCAAUGUGAAAUGAAACUAGCAUAUGGAAACACAAGGUCGUUUGUGUACAGGCCGGCAAUGCUGUCAAUGGUAGCCAUUGCUGCUGUCUGUGUUUGCGUGGCCUUGCUCUUCAAAAGCUCGCCUGAAGUCCUUUAUGUCUUCCAGCCCUUCAGGUGGGAACUCUUGGAGUAUGGACCGAGCUAAGGCAGUUUACGCGUCUCAAAUUUUAGUUACUCUGGCUUUAGGCCGUUUGUGUUAAUCAUAUGUAUAAACGGAUAACUCAAAUUUUAGUUACUCUGGCUUUAGGCUGUUUCUGUUGAUCAUAUGUAUAAACCGAUAACUCUAUAGGGAACAUAAUGUACCAGUUUUCGUAUCCGUUAAGAUUUCCACGAGAGGUGUUGCACUGUAUGUAUUAAUGAUAGUUCAUAUAAAGCGUGUAUAGGGAAAGAUUGACGUAAAUAGUACUAUUGACCAAUUGUUGAGGCAAUAGAUUGCUGCAUUACUUCCAAAAACACAUACAAACAUUGUAUUCGAUGAGGCGGAAGAUUCGGACUUGAAAAUUCUUUCGCUUUUAAGUCAGCUUUCUUAAACAGAAGACAAUAUUUAGUAGGGCGGCCUGACUAAUAAUUUCUUUCGCUUUUAAGUCAGCUUUCUUAAACAGAAGACAAUAUUUAGUAGGGCAGCCUGACUAAUAAGUAGGUUAGACUACUCUUGCUAAAUUUUAUGCAUUGAGAGUUGUAUUUACGUAAGACUGGAUGGUGACCAAAUACAUAGAAUCACGUUCCUUCAUGAGGGGAUAAGGCUGUCUCACAAAGGUUGGAGCUUUGUGCUUACUUAGAUACAUGAAUCUCGUUCUUUCGUGAGUCAACUUUUCAGGUUAUUCAACUCAAAUGUUAUGAAUAAAAUUGGGCCAAAAUUAGAUCAAACAGUUGUUUUUCUCCAAAUAUUUUUAAUUUGGUCAAAUGCAUGAAUCUCGUUCUUUAGUGAGAUAACUUUUCAUGUUAUUCAACUCAAACGUUAUGAAUAAAAUUGGACCAAAAUUAGAUCAAACAGUUGUUUUUCUCUAAAUAUUUUUAAUUUGGUCAAAUCCAAUCCGAGUCUAAUAUUAACUAGCAAAAAAAAAAGCAGAAAAAUGGAUUUUACAGGCUAAUAAAAUAAUAGGAAAAGGACUCCAGUCACAGAGACACGUUGACUCAUAUUUUGACAUGAAAUUGUUUUCCACUUCAACAAGUCAUAUUCAUGGUCCUUACAUAGUGUACACAAUUAUUACCUUGUUUAAUCUUUUUCAAUUAUUUUGUCGUUUUGAACCUUUUUUCUUUGGUUUAAUUGCCAAUAAUUCAAGCAUUAAAUCUUGAUCUCGAAAUGGAACAAUUUUCCGGUGUACUAAGAUCACGUUCACGUAAAAUUACUGGUUCAUUUAAAUUAUAUUACGUAGAUUUGUUAAUAUUAAGUUUAGGUUAAAUCUCACAAUAAUUAGUAAUAAUAUGACGAGAAUUAAACUUGAAAUAUAUCACUUAUAAUAAAAUAAAAUAUCAUUAGUUUAAAUAUUAAAAUGAUACACCUCGUAACUUGUAACGCUGUUAAUUUCUAAUCGAAAUCAAAAGGAGACGCGUCAUUUGAGGCCACCACCUCUCUCCUCUCACUCUCCCCACUGAAACCGAAUUUACACAGUAAGAGAACCCUUUUCCUAACCUUUUCCUAAUUUUCAUGUGCUGAUUAGCUUUGUCUCGGGGCCUAUAUUCUCUCUGCCUCAACUGCGAUCUCAGCCACUUCUUCGUCAGCUCUCAGUUCUCAGCUCAUCUCCCAACAAUUCACCAACCUGCCGGCAAGUUUCUCUCUCUUUACUCUCUCGCUCUCCUCUUUAUUUCCACAAAAAAAGAUUGGGUCUUUCAGUUCUUUCAGCUCAAGUUUCUUUCCAUGGAGUUGAAAGCAUUGACUAGGAUGUAAUUGUGGGCUUGCAAAUACGGUAUUUUGUACUGACUUGUUGAGAGAAAAACUGGGUAAUUGGUGGAUUUUGGGUUCUGGGCAGCUGUAGCCUGUAGUUUAGCUCCAUUUUUAUGCUGGUGUGCUGUUCUUGGUUUUCUGGGGUUCUUGGAAAGAACAAUUUCCAGAAAUUUCUGGGGCUGUGGUGUUAUUGACUUUUUGUUUUGGGGUGAAAUUUAUAGUUUUAUCUCUGAGCUGUAGUUGUUGUUAUUGUUCAAUUGGGUGUUUGUAUCUGGUGGAGUUUGACUAGGGGGCAUUGUAACAUCUCUGGGUUUUUUGUAUCUUGAUCUAUGGAGUCUGAAUUCGGAGGAAAGGCUUGUAAUUUUCGUGGUGUGAUGGUGCCGAAUUUGAAGGGGGUUGGGAAAAAGAGUUUGGAAUGGGAUUUGAAUGAUUUUAAAUGGGAUGGUGAUCUUUUUACUGCUAGUCCAUUAAAUUCUACACCAUCUGAUGGUAGGAGUAGGCAGUUGUUUCCGGCCAGGCCAGAAACUCCGUCGGAUGCUGGUUUGUCCAACAGUUCUUCUUCUGGUUCGGAUAAUAUCAGUCCGGGGAAUGAGAAAGAUCAAAGAGAAUUGGAGAAACGGAGAAGGGAUUUUUUUGUGGAAAACCGAGAGUUGAAUGAUGAAGCUGCGUCUCUGAAUCUUAAACUUGGCGGGCAAACUUACCCCAUUAUGGAAGAAGAAGUACAAACCGGGAAGAAAACAAAGACAAUUGGGACUACUUCAAACCGUGCAGUUUGUCAGGUGGAGGACUGUAAGGCUGAUCUUAGCAAUGCCAAGGAUUAUCACCGGAGGCAUAAGGUCUGUGCUAUGCAUUCUAAGGCAACUAAAGCGCUGGUUGGAAGUGUUAUGCAGCGGUUCUGUCAACAGUGUAGCAGGUUGGUUCCAUCCUAUUGUUAUUUAUUGUUUGGUUGAAACAUUUCCCCGAUUUUCUUGAAUUAACUUGAAAUACAGAGUUUGGUUGUGUAAAUUUUGUUGUCAUGCGUUUGUUGUGCAUGGCUGUUCAUCAAUCUUCUUACGGUAUGGUUGAGUUCUGCAGAAGGUUUUUUUUGUUGAAUUAAAUGUAACAGGGUUAACACUCGUGGACAGGUUUCAUGCUCUUCAAGAGUUUGAUGAAGGGAAGAGAAGUUGCCGUAGGCGUUUGGCUGGCCAUAAUAGGAGGAGAAGAAAAACACAUCCUGAUACUGCAGUUAAUGGAGGCUCUUUAAACAAUGAAGGCGGAAGCGGUUAUCUAUUGAUUAGCUUGCUGAGAAUACUUUCAAAUAUGCACUGUAAGUACUUGCCUUAUUCAUUGUACACUUCUGUCUUAGUGAAACAUUGUAUCUCAGAUUUAUUUGAAUCCGCAUAUUAUGCCAUUUAUAAAUUGCAGCUAGUAGUUCUGAUCAAACAAAGGAUCAGGAUGUCAUAUCUCAUUUGUUGAGGAGCUUAGCCAAUGUUGCUGGUACGGCUGAUGGAAGAAACAUAUCUACAUUGCUGCAGGGAUCUCAAGGUUUAUUUAACAGUGGGACAUCUGUCCAGACUGCACGAAGGGUUCUAGAUAUGAAUGCUGGUGUUAAUACUGAGGACCCUUUAAGGUCUAAAGGACACUGUUCGAUACUACCUGCAUCAAGAGACAGUUCUGAAUCCAAAUCAGUUACACCGGAAGCUACAAGUAGAAGGUUCCAGUUAAAUGAUUGAUUUAAAUAGUACAUAUGAUGAUUCACAGGACUAUGUAGAGAACCUAGGGAAUUCUCAUGUUCCUGCAAGUCCAGGCACUGCAUCUCUUGGUUUUCCUUCAUGGAUGCAGCGUGAUUCUCAUAAAUCAAGCCCACCUCAGACAAGUGGGAAUUCAGACUUAACUUCUACUCAGUCACCGUCAAGUUCUAGUGGAGAAGCUCAGGUAUAUCCUUGUAAUUGCAUCUAUUCCAUAAUUGCUUGGUAAUAUAAUGCUUAAAAAUGCCUUUGUCGUGGAUGAUGCUCAGCCCACUGUAAUUCGUCUUUUUUUUAAUCUUUUUUUCCAUGAGACCAGGGAUUAAUAUAUCAAUUGUCAUUAAUCAUUAUACGGCGUAUAACUUGUCUUUUGUUUGGAUAGUAGAAUACCUUUGUUCUAUCCUUGAGAGUAGUUAGGCAGUCAUGUAUUGUGUUCUGAACGUGUCUGUGUAUCUUUCCAUGGAUUGUCAAAAUAAUGGCGAGGUUAAGUGCGCUCGCUGCUUGGUUAUGGGAUAUAUGUAAGAAAUGCUUCAAUUGUGACUUAAAGUUGAGAUCAGUUAUCUCUUCCUUCAAACCAAUAUGGCAGUUUACAAGCGCAACCACACACACAAACAUACUUGUUGUGUAUACGUCUUCUUGAUGCUGUUAAUAGAAUUGAGGUUAAAGUUACCUGGUGGUUUCUGCAGUCCUAAUGGAACAUGCAUUAUUUAUGUAAAAGGCCAGUAUGUAGAAUGUAUCUGCAAUUUUACGUUUCUUGACUGCUCUUUUUCUGCCACAUAUCAGAGUCACACAGACCGAAUUAUUUUUAAACUAUUUGGAAAAGACCCUAAUGAACUUCCACUUGCUCUGCGAUCACAGGUACUAUAUUUCCUUUGAUUUUUCUAGUUUUCAAAGUACUUUUCAAAGUAUUUUGGUGUUUCAUUCCACGGACUCCAUGAUUUUUAUAAAUUAUUUGAAUAUCCAGAUCCUCGACUGGUUAUCUCACAGCCCUACCAACAUUGAAAGCUACAUAAGGCCGGGCUGUAUCAUUUUGACAAUUUACCUUCGUCUAGAAAAAUCCACGUGGGAGGAGGUAUUCUCGACUGUGGAUGGCAGAUCCUUGUAUGAGGAAGACUUUUUCUUCAAGUCCUUAAUUUUGACAAUUCACCUCUCCCAGACCCUGAUUAAAGCGGGAGCCUUGUGCACUGGGUACGACCUUUUUUUUUAUAAUUAUUUUUGCUUACAGUUCUGUUGUCAUCUGGGAUCCAGUUUGAAAACACUUCUUGAUGCUGCGGAUGAUCCUUUUUGGAGAACAGGAUGGGUGUAUACAAGGGUGCAAGAUUAUGUAGCAUUUACAUACAAUGGUUUGCCUCUCUCUCUCUCUCUCUCUCUCUCUCUCUCUCUCUCCCCCUCUCAUUUCGUGUGUGCGUACACAUUUGUGUAUUUAGGGUCUAUAGAAGAAUCUUGCUGUUUUAGUUUUCCAUUAUGCUUUAUUGAUUUUGGUCAUGCUUUGUUUUGUUAUUUCUAGUACAUAAUGAGGAUUGACCAAAAACAUUAACCUUAUAUGAGAGAAGCAUUUUGAUUAGUUAUGUCCAUCCUGCAGGUGAAGUUGUGUUAGACACACCCUUGCCUCUUAAAAGCAAUAAAAGUUGCAGGAUAUCAUGCAUCAAACCAAUUGCGAUCUCCUUAUCUGAGAGAGCUGAAUUUAUAGUAAAAGGCUUUAACCUUUCUAGUUCCACCACAAGGUUCUUUCAUCUUUCAUUCAUGCGUCAUUACUUUGUUUUCAAUAUUCCUCUCUAGUUUUAUAGGAUAACAGAAGAAAUACUAAAUUCUAGAUCUUGAGUCUUGACAGGUUACUCUGUGCUCUAGAAGGGAAGUAUCUGGCUCAAGAAACUUGUUAUGACUUGUUGGAUGAUGCGGAUAGCACUGUUGAGGAUGACGAACAACAAUGCCUUAAAUUCUCCUGCUCUAUACCAAAUGUUACUGGGCGAGGAUUCAUUGAGGUGCUGUCAUAUUCCUAAUUGUCCCUUUCCCCCUUCCUCCUCUUGUAAUGUGCAUUUUGAACGAGCCGUAUUUUAUAAGUCCGGAAUUUGUUUAUAAAUCUUCUUAUGAAUACUGAGUAUAGAUUUGUUUCUAGACAGCGCCUUAACUGAAAUCCACGGUUCUCAUUUUAUUGGUCAAAUUUAUGUCAGGUUGAAGAUCAUGGUCUCAGCAGUAGCUUCUUUCCAUUUAUAGUUGCAGAGCAGGAAGUAUGCUCUGAGAUUUGUAUGCUGGAAGAUGUGAUUGAGGUGUCCGAGACUGAUGAUGAUAUCCAAUCUGGACCUGAAAAAGUGGAAGCUAAGAACCAAGCCUUGGACUUUAUACAUGAAUUGGGUUGGCUCCUACAUAGAAGUCGCGUUAAGUUUAGACUGGGUCAAUUGGAUCCCAAUCUAGAUACAUUUCCCUUUAGACGGUUCAGAUUGCUCAUGGAGUUCUCCAUUGACCAUGAUUGGUGUGCUGUGGUGAAGAAACUCUUGGGCAUUCUGUUUGAUGGUACUGUCGACGCUGCAGAGCAUCCUUCCCUUGAGUCUGCACUACUGGAUAUGGGCCUCCUCCACAGAGCUGUGCGAAUCAAUAGCAGACGUAUGGUGGAAUUCUUGUUAAGAUUUGUCCCAGGUUUAACAGGAUCUGAGCAGAAGGAACAAGUUGACAGGGACGGCAACAGUUUCUUGUUUAAACCUGAUGUUGUUGGGCCCAUGGGGUUGACUCCUCUUCAUAUUGCCGCCAGUACUGAUGGCUGUGAGCAAGUAUUGGAUGCCUUAACUGAUGAUCCUGGAAAGGUAAUAUCUCCGUUUUUUGAAUUGCAACAUAAUAUUUUUCUUCUAAUUCUAUGUAGAAAUCACUUUGCGCUGGCUACAACCUCCAUCCCAUCUCCAUACCCAUUUGAACUCUUGCGCCUACAGUUGACCUGUGUCUGUUCUCAUACUGUUUCACACACGUGUUUUGAUGAUUUUAACUCAUUCUAAUUUCCAGCAUGUCAGGUUGCUCACGGAUUUUAGAUCUGUAAUCAUGUCUUCUUUGACUUUGAGCUCUCUCUUUAGCUUUUCCACUGUCUUCUGCCUAAACAAAAUACACUGAUUCCAGUUAUUGAGUUGUAUUUCAAAUUCUCAAUUAACCAAUCCUAGACAAAUUAUGCAGUCUUGUAUUUUCUUUGGCUUGCGAAACAUAUGAAACAUAAAUCACCGUAGAAAAGUUAAAUGCGCCAUUCAAAUUGGUAAAGAAAGCAGCACCCCACAUCUAAAUGCAUGCUAACUCUUUCACAGCUGAAAGCGGCACCCAAAUUCUACAUUCAACUUGAAAUCAAAUAGGACUGCUGUUAAAAUUUUUGACGAUAAAUGAAUUAUGAUUCUUUUCAUCGUUCUAGUUUCAACUUUCAAGCAUGUGUUUAGGACUGCUGUCAUGAAAUUUCUUUAGUGUCAGAUAAUCCAUUCAUCAAGUUGAUAUGGGCGUUUUUUUCUUUAGGUGGGAAUUAAAGCAUGGAAAAACACUCGAGACAGCACAGGAUUGACACCAUAUGAUUAUGCAUGCCUUCGAAGCCGCUACUCCUAUGUCCAUAUAGUCCAGCGGAAAAUCAGCAAUACACUGGAAAGCGGGCAUGUGGUGCUUGACAUCCCUGGCCUCACGUUAGACAGAAAUGGAAAGCAGAAGCAAUCGGAUGCGCAUAAAUCAUCAAGAGUAGCCAGCUUGGAAACUGAAAGGAAUGAUAUAAAAGCAAUCUUACGACACUGCAGGUUAUGUGAACAGAAACCAGCUUAUAGCACCACACGGUCACUUGUAUACAGGCCGGCAAUGCUGUCAUUGGUGGCUGUCGCUGCUGUCUGCGUUUGCGUGGCCUUGCUCUUUAAAAGCAAUCCGGAAGUUGUUUUCGUGUUGGAGCCAUUCCGGUGGGAACACUUGAAGUUUGGUUCAAGCUAAGGUUAUAGUUUACGUGUAUUAAUUUAUAGUGACUCUGGUUAUACAUAGACCAUUUCUUUUCACGUGGAUAGGAGUAUAUUUUCUAUCUGAUUUUUAUAUGUAUAUCUAGGGCCACUCAAGCCAACAAGACUCUUCGCAUUGCAAUGGUCGGAACGUCUAUCGUAUCUGUAUUUGUAUACCUAAGCUUCCAAAAUAAACAUGGGCUGUCAUGGAUUUUGGUCCACCAGGUUUGAUUGUAUUUGUAUUUGUAUAACAGUGUUACAAACUGGAUGACACAUAAUUUCUCUGUUUGAUAUUUCUUUUUUUUUUUUCAAAAUAAACAUUUGGCACGAGGUGAUUCGGUGUUCGAUUAUUAGUGCAUUUACUGUAUAAAUUAAAUUUUAAUUUUAGAAAAUUCAGCAUUUUUGUUGGUUAUAUUGGAGGAAAUCGAACUUUGGUCUACUCUAAUUCUAACUUAUUACCAUACCCUCCUCCAUUAUUUGAGCUCAUAUAAGCAUAAGCACACUAAACAAGGUUAAGUAUAGAAGAAUUUGGGAAUUGAGAAUUAUUGUUUGAGCAUUAUUUCAUGUUUAGUGCAAAUUGAGGUUGAAUUAUUUUCUAAUUUUAUUAGUUUAAUCAUUUGGAUGAAUUUGUUCAUGCUUCCAUAUGAAAUCAUUAUUUUAUUAAAAUAAUUUAUUAAUAGUUCGAGAAAAACUUAAAUGGAGGUGCUCACGUCAUUCAUCACGCAUUCACAUUCACAUUCGUUACACGUUUCUCAUAAAAACAUAAAACUCUUUCAAAUGAAUAGGUUUCACUGAAUUUGGAUAAUAUCCGACUUUACAUAAGUACAAGUAUCAAUGCACAUGAUUCCAACCAGUAAUUAUUAUCUUAUUUGAAUUACUUACCCCGAAUCAGACCUGAAAAAGUGUAAUUUAUUCAAAUUUUAUUUUCUGAAAUUCAAAAAAAUAAAAUAAAAUUUGAGGAUAAGAAAAUAAAGGGUAAAGAGGUCAUUUGCAUGCCCUGCCUCCUAAAAUCCACCUCACUACUCACUACCCCGUCACUGCUCUAACAAUUUUGCAGGCCAAAGCCAUCCAUGGCUUCUUCAAUCUCUCUCUCCUUCUCUUCCUCUCUCCUCCCUCAUCCUCUUCCUUUCAACAAAUACUCCACCGCCACCGCCGCCGCCUCCCAGAAAUCCCAAUACCCCAACUUUAAGCUGCUCCUCCGCGCAUUCGCCAACCCAGCUGUAAGCCGUCGCUCCACUCCAUCUCCGUCUUCCGACACCAGAAAGAGGCACUGGAAGAAAGGUGAAUACCCAGGCGUCUCGGAGACGUCGGCUCCGGCGAAUUACAGAAAAACCCCUGGUCGUUCCACUUCAUCUGAGUCUUCCGACACCAGAAAGAAGCACUGGAAGCGAGGUGAGUUCCCGGGCGUCUCGGAGACGUCGACUCCGGCGAAUCACAGAAAAACCCCUGGUCGUUCCACUUCAUCUGAGUCUUCCGACACCAGAAAGAAGCACUGGAAGCGAGGUGAGUUCCCGGGCGUCUCGGAGACGUCGACUCCGGCGACUUACAGAAAAACCUCCGCUCGUUCCGCUUCAUAUCCGUCUUCCGACAACAGAAAGAAGCACUGGAAGCAAGGGGAGUUCCCGGGGGUCUCGGAGACGUCGAUUCCGGCUAUUUAUAGAAAACCCCCUUUGAAAAAUGUGAAGAAGAAGCUGGACCGGAAGAACAAUGCCAAGGCCUGGGUCAACACCGUCACGGAGGCCCUGUCAGACGCCAUUGACAAGAAGCAGUGGCUCCAAGCUCUUGAGGUUUUUGUCUUAAUCUAAACAAAAAUUAACAAAUUUUUCAUCUUUUUUCUUAUGUGUUUUUAGUUUGGUGAAUGUAAAUUGAUGCAAAAUUUAAAAAAAUGGUAUUUUUAUGCUUACCAAUUUAGUUUCUUGAACCAUGUUCUUGAAAAAUGUGAUCUUUUUAGCUGAAUGAUUUUAGUGGAAUUAUAAUUAAUUGGGUGUUUUUGUUUGGAAAAUGUAUGAUGAAAUUGGGUACUAUUACGUUCAGGUGUUUGACAUGCUUAGGGAACAACCAUUUUAUCAACCGAAAGAAGGGACUUACAUGAAACUCAUUGGUAUGCUUGGAAGGUGCGGCCAACCCAAUCGUGCCCGCCAGCUUUUCGAUACAAUGGUUGAAGAGGGCUGUGAACCAACUCUUGACCUUUACACAGCCUUGCUCGCGGCUUAUUGCCGGAACAAUCUGAUUGACGAGGCAUUUUCUGUUCUUAACCUGAUGAAGACUCUCCCGCAAUGCCAGCCUGACGUUUUUACUUACAGUACCUUGAUAAAGGUUUGCAUUGAUCAUUUGAAGUUUGAUUUAGUUGAGUCCUUGUAUGAGGAAAUGGCUGAGCGGUUGAUAGCUCCGAAUACAGUCACCCAAAACAUAGUGUUGAGUGGAUAUGGUAAGGCCGGGAAGUAUGACCAGAUGGAAAAAGUGUUGUCCGGGAUGCUGGAGGGUACAAGUUGCAAGCCUGAUGUCUGGACAAUGAAUGUUGUCCUUAGUGUGUUUGGAAACAAGGGUCAGAUAGAUAUGAUGGAGAGAUGGUAUGAGAAAUUCCGUGAUUUUGGGAUUGAGCCGGAAACUCGCACUUUGAACAUUCUGAUUGGUGCUUACGGGAAGAAAAGGCUGUAUGAUAAGAUGUCAACUGUGAUGGAGUACAUGCGCAAGCUUCAAUUCCCAUGGACAACCGCAACUUACAACAAUGUGAUAGAGGCUUUCGCGGACGUAGGAGAUGCAAAAAACAUGGAAUACACGUUUGAACAGAUGCGUGCUGAGGGCAUGAAAGCAGACACCAAAACAUUCUGCUGCCUUAUUAAUGGGUAUGCCAAUGCAGGCCUCUUCCAUAAGGUGGUUAGCUGCGUUCAGUUGGCUGGAAAGUUUGAGAUACCUGAGAAUACCACAUUUUACAAUGCGGUGAUAGCUGCAUGUGCAAAGGCAGAGGAUUUAAUGGAGAUGGAAAGAGUUUUCAACCGGAUGAAAGAGAAGCAAUGUCAACCGGAUUCCACAACAUACUCUGUCAUGGUUGAGGCAUAUAGUAAGGAAGGUAUGAACGACAAGAUCUACUACUUGAAGCAGGAGAUUGGUACUGAUGGUAAUCAAAGUGAUCAGAUUAGUGUUGAAGAAAAUCAAAGUGAUCAGAUUAGUGCCGAAGAGAAUCAGAGUGAUCAGAUUAGUGUGGAAGACAAUCAGAGUGAUCAGAUUAGUGAUGAAGGCAAUCAAAGUGAUCAGAGUAGUUUUGAAGAUAAUCAAAGUGAUCAGGCUUUUGGAGCUGAGUCUGGCGGUGUUGUCUAGUUGAGAUCUUUGGAGGCAACAGUAUGCUCCAAAAAUCCCUAAUCUCACAGGGCAAUUCCAUUCCCCGCAGUUCUUCUAAGGCAGCAGCAAACUCUUAUUGUGAAAUUGCCGAUCGAUCAGGUAAUCAAACAUUUCCAUUCUCGGAUGGGUGUUAGCAAUGCUGCUUCCUCCAAUUUUAUGUUUCUGGUGAAGGACUGUAUGGAUUGAUCUGAUAGACUGAUAACCCGGGUGAAACUUUAUGGAAAAUGAUUGUACAUACAGAGUUGAUAAGUGUCUCUCUCCAAACUUGAUGCGAUCUCUAAACUAGCAUGCAAAAUUGUACGACGAUUUGUAAGAGUGUUUAACUGUGUUCAACAGAGGAAUUGCUUUUUGUUAUUGCCUGAAAUGUUUUGAAUGUAACUUCACGUAUAUAUUGUCUGCAGCAGCUGCUGGACAAUCAUAGAAGGUGGUCUGUAAACACGUUGUUUUUGAAAAUUAAUCGCUCUUUUCGGUACAUUUUGUGCUGCUGUUGUUCGAAUGUUUUGGCACUUGAGGCAGACAAUUGAUCUGCAAUUAUCCCAAAAUGUAAGGGUCCAGCUCAACAAAACGCAGGGGUAAUUUGAUCAAAGAUGUAAGUUUUGUUAUAUUGACUUUUGAGUAGCAUUGGUAGUGUAAUAAACAAUAUCAGUAACGUUGAAUAAUAAUAAAUUUUACUUGGAUGCCGGCGUGUGUAGUAAGAAUAUGUCCAAAGUGGUUUGGACAACGACAUGAUGGUGCGUUAACUAAUAUGAUCUUAUCACGUGAUGAGAGAUAAAGGAGAGAUGAAUGUAUUCGUGACCUGGAGGUUAUUCUACACGUAAACUUGUAAAGAUAGGCAAACAGGGUGCUUUUUGGUUGAAACGAAAUGCUGAAUUGUUUACUCUUUCUUGUGUAAGAAGAGAAGACUUGUAUCGUAAUCAGGUACUAAUUGUUGUCUUUUGGUCCCACCUUACCUCACACUAUAAAUAAUGGCAUCUAAACCCGAUUAUUCACAGAGAAGCUUUCACAAAAGCAUAAAACUCUUAUAUUUUGGUUUCACUCGCCUCAAACUAGUCUCCCUCGUUGAAAUAGCUAACCUAGUUAGGAACUGUACACAAGUUUCUCUCGUAUCGAAGAAAGUCAAAGAAGUUUUUAGCUCACAAAAGCACAUAACCCCCUAUAUAUUCCAUUUGAAUCACCAUUUACAAAAUUUGUACUAACUUUCCAGUCGAAGAUAGGAUAGUUUCGACAAGUAUUGAACGGCUAAGAUAACUUUAUUUAUUACAUGAAUGGCUAAGAUUAAAAACAAGGGCACGUAGACGAAUACAAACAUCUUCAAUGAGAGGAUCCACCAUUUCUACCAUUGGAAAUUUAAUUUCCUUACAGAAUAGGCGAAAAGUGAAGCGAAAACAAUCGGGAAAGCAAUGAGAACAAUCGCCACGAGGAAUAAACGAUCGUGAUGGAAGCCAUAGUAGUCUUGAAGGAAGGAAGCAACUGUUUUCUGCUCCCCAAAAAUCAAAAUCUCUUUGUUCAUGUCUCCAUAUUGUGAACUGAGGAGGGCAUUUAGGGACCAUGAUGUAGGACAAAUCCAAUAGAACCAAAUCCACCACUUGGGAAUUUUCUGCAUAAAAUAUAUAGAACAUGGUCCGCUAGGCUCACAGUAAACCGUCAUAUUAAGGGUUUAUUUGGCACUGCUUCUUUAGAAAGAACUUUUGCUUAUAAAUUAUAAGCGCUUUUUCUGUAAGUUGUUUAAUAGAGUUAUGUUGCAAAAAAAGCAGUUGGGAGGGCUUCGCAUACUAAAAGCUCUUAAAGUUUUACUACAUAGUCUUUUGGCUUUUCUAGAAGCAGUCUCAAACAGGGCUAAAGACUAAAGAGAGAGUUAGAUUUAGUUACCGGCCCGAGCACAAGGAAGCCGGAAAAAAGAUUCAAUAUGGUGUAGAUUGCCGUUGCGAAAAUGGAAGCUACUUGCAGGCUUGUGCUAAAAGAAGCUAUCAGCAUCCCAAGGUAUACAAAUUAGAGAAAUGUAGAGAAUGUUGCAUGGAAGUACCAGAAAACCUUAGUAGCUGACCAAUAGUACCCUAUUGUAGGGUAUGUAAUAAUGACAUACAGAAUUGCUUGAACCACUUUGUAAGUUAUUUCAAUGGCCACCUACAACAACAUUCAAAAUUUCGACAUGUUAAAAACCUUUCCACUACAAGCUACGUUAUAGUACCAGUUAAAAUGUACGAACCUGUGCAAACGAAUGAGCGUUUGAUGAGUACAUCCCAGCAAAUCUUUCCCGGUACAGAACUGCGCGCUCAGUAGCCACGUAAGGCAGAACCGUCGAGCAAUUGGUUGUGCCCAAAAAUAUUACAGCAAUGUACAGUAACCCAAGCACGUUGAACAAAUCAUGCUCAUUGUUUCUUGAGGAACAAGAAAAACACAGGAUUUAGCGUUGUUGAGCAAAAAUUGUACAUAAUAUGUAAACAAAUAAUUCUCUCGACAUAAUUUCACCCUCGUUCAUUUUUCGAAGAGGGUUUUAUUAGUUUGAGUUUGAUUCAUUCUAGGUUACGCGCCUAUUAAUUACAACCUUUCUUUUGGGAAAGGAAUACCCUUUGAUUCUAAUAUGAAUAAAUCGUAAUUUGAGGAUUUGGGUGUUUAUUUGAUUUUGUGACUGUAUCUAGGUAGAGCCCUAGAUUGCCUACGUACCCUCGUUGAGGGAUCAAAUCACUCGUAGUUCCUUAUGUGUUUUGUUGGGGUUUGACGCCUUGUGCAGUUUCAGCUCAUGCAGAUGAGGAUUUUAAGCCGUUGGAGCUUUAAUAAAUUUGAUAUGGUUUUAUGCCAUUCUGAAAUUUGAUACGGCUUCGUGCCAGUUAACAUAGCUUCGUGCCACUUGAGAUUUUGUUGCGGCUUCAUGCCAUUUGAUAUUUGACUUUUUCUUCGGCUUUACGGCUUCGUGCCAUUGAAUUGGCUUUGAGCCAUUUGAGGCAGCUUUGUCCCAUUUAAAGUGGUUUUAUGCCGCUUAAACGUUGAGUAAAAUUAACAGGUUUAUUUCUGAUAAACCCACUAAUAUUUUGGCAUUUGACUCUGGCUUGGUACCAUUUCUUACUCCAUGUUUAAUUUUACUUUUCCUUUUUCGUUUGCCCUUUCUUCUGACAAAUUUGUAGAGAAUCAUGCUUGGAAUAAAAAAAAAAUUUCCUCUGUUCCUUCAUGGGAUUUACUCCACAAGGGUUUUGUUCAAAGCAGCAGAAGUGAAUUUAGUUUAUACAAACCAGGGAUUCAUCUUGAUUUCUUGGUUGCGUCUAAAAUUUGAUAUCAGACUGCCUACGUAUCCUUAACGGAAUCAAACCGGCGUAGUUCGUAACUUUUGAGACUCAUCGCGGCUUUGUGCCAUUUGAUACUUGAUAUGGAUUCGUGCCAUUUGAAGUUUGACGGAGCCUUGUGGCAUUUGUGUCUUGUAAAUAUUUGUGAUGAACCCACUUUUACAUUGGUAUUUGACUUUGUCUUCCUUUUCAUUUAUUUUGUCUUGGAACCCAUUUUAUUUUGCCUACAAGCCCGUCACUCUAUUGUUGCCCUUUAUUUUUUUGCAUGGUAGCACAAAAAAAAUCCUUGCUUUCAUAUGGAAAAUAUAAAAGCAAGAGUCAAAGCUCCUUUAUUUUUACCAAUGCCUUUUUCAAGCUUUUAAGUCCCUUGCUUUUCUUCUUUCUUUAUUUUUCUUUUGUCAUUGCCGUAUGUCUCCCUAAGAACAACUCCACUUUUGGAGCCCUUUCUCCAUGCAAUCCACUAUUCAAUCCACCAUGUAAACAGUAAUUACCCUUAAUAAACAGUAACUACUUUUGUAUCUCAACCCUUGCACUUGAAUACCCUUGGCAAUAGGCAAUAAAAUAUUAAUUUUUAUAAUUAAUAUUAUAUUAUUUAAUUUGUACAAAUUAAUAUUAUAUUAUUAAUUUAUCUUUUCCAAUCUCUUCCCGAAACUUCUACCAUUUUUGUUUUCUUCUUCCUUCCCACUCUCUCACUCCCCUCUCCCUCAUUGUCUUCUUUUUUUUCUCCGGCCGACAGUCUACCUCCCCUCUCUCUUUUUCUCCCCCAUUUCUCCCUGUUUUCUUCCUCAAACGAGGAAGCUGCGAAUUUUGAGAGAGAGCAGCACCGAACCCACCCGCCUCCCGCCAUGUCUAAAUCCACUGAUGUGUCUUUCUUCCUCCUCAUGGUCCUCUGCGGCCAGGCCCAAAGAGGCCGCCUGCUUCUUUCCGACUUCAACCAAUCAACGUCAUCCGAUCUGAUCUCCGAUAGAGUCCACCACCACCACCGGUCCCACACCCUGGCUCCCUACCUCACUCUCGAGAACGCCCUUUCGGCGGAAGACUCCACCUGCAAGCAGACCUACGUUUUCCUGCCUUGCACCACCACUGUGAUCGACAACCUUUCCUAAUUCCUGACAGAAAAAAAUUAAAAAAAAGGACUGACGCCAGCCUGACGUCAGCCCCUACUCGGGCUGGCAAUUCCUCAUAGACCCUUUGCUCGGGCCUUGGCUGCUGCUUGGGCUUGCUCACGCUGGAGCUGGUCGACAGGGCCUUGGGCUCUUUCUUCUCCCCCCGUCCCUCGAGCAGGAGCUUCCGCUAAAGCUGCUCUAAUGGUUCGAAGAUGAUGGAAUCCAAUUUGAAAUGGCACAAGUUAAAUUUCCAUAAAGAACUCCCAUAACUUUAUUGACCCCUACGUGAGCAACUUUCCAUGUGAGGUGCUGAUUUCAGUUAGCAUUCUUCUUUGAUCUUUUCAAACCCAUUUAAACAUGGGACUUCGAACCUAUCUGACCUAAACUUCUGACCAAUCUGAGAGCAAGCCUUACUCUUUUCUUUGUUUGACUUCAAAGGUCUCCAAAUUCCAAUAAGACUUUAUCCCAUACUUUAAAUGGGGGAACCAUGACUUUCUUUUGUCUUCCACGACUUUCUUUUGUCCUCCACGUGAGUGGUUUUCUUGCUAUGAAGUAAAAGAAGACCACAUCAACAUUUUUUUAACUUUACUUUUGAUUUGACAAAAGCUUUUUGGUCUGGAACUCUUCUUCUCUCCUUAUGAGUUUUAAACAUUUUUUUUUCUUUGUCUUCAACCUUGAAUUUAGCUUUGCCCAACAUUUGACAAUAACUUACUUCAUCUUUGAGGUGCCACGUAUUUAGCCUUUUUUAAAAAAAACAAGCACUUUCUUUUGAGUUUUCUGUUUCCUGCAUGGAUUUGUCUUCACAGGGGUAAAACUAGUCUUCGACUAAAAUCACGAAUCAUCUUUUGCUUGUUGGAGAUUUUUUCUUCAAUUCCUAAUUUAAACAGGAAUUUGAAUGAAACUUGGUCAGUGGCAACUAGCGCCUAUUCUUCUUUGGCUGGGCUUUCUUUGGGUUUCUGUCUCAAUGAAGAACGCCAAAAGUUUUUGAAGAAGACCAUGGCCCGUCGACCGACAGAAGCUUCGGGACCAUAGCUGGGCAUGUUGGGUUCUUGUUCUCCACUUGUUCAAAUGUGCAGAGUGACGGCUUAUUCUCCGUUGCAUCUCUGAAAAGAGGAAGGGAGAUGUCGAAAACUUCUUUAGACACCCAAGAGGCUACAGGAGGUUGUGGGAAGACGAUUUGCUGCUGUGUUUUGAUGAAAUCUCCGUUGGACAUCACAAGUUGCAGGGUGUCGAUGAUGUUGAAGACAUGGCGCAGCUGCUGUCUCUGUUUGGGCUUCCGUCUAACGUCGGCGGUUUAUUGCAAUGUUGCCUUCAUUAGCUAUUUCACACCGCUGCCAUCUUCUUGCUCAAACCUUCGUCAAAUUUGUUGAUGGUCUGGACUGGCGUGCCCAACUACGUCACCUGGUUUCAUCACCUUCGGAUCACGAACUGCACUGCCCUUGGGCUUCUUCCGGAGGACUGACAGAGACGACGGUUGAAAAAUGGUGGUGUUGCCGUAGUGCAGUGAUCACCUAGACCUGGUUGGAACUUCACGGGGUGGUUUAGACCACCCCGAAGAAAUUCAUGGGACUGGGGAUGGGAGAGAAACAAAUUGUUUUUUUUUCUUCUUGCAAAGCCGAGAGAAAGCAUACAAAGAAAGAUUUAGAAGGAUAGAUUUAUACCUUUAAAUGCUUUGUAGCAUUUCCUGCUCUUUGUUCUUGCGGGUAGCACUUGAUAUCUUCUUCUUUUUUCUUCUUUUGUUUCUCUUUUGCCUUUGCUCUCUUGCUUUGCCUCUCAUUCUCUGUUGUCUUCAUUGCGCUUUUCUGUCUCUCAAUUUUUGCAGAGUACCCUUGUCUUUUUUUUUUUUUUUUCUCUUGCUGUAGUUGAUGCCUAUUUAUAGGCAUCCCAAGUAAAGGAUGAUACAUUCCUGAUCUCUUGGGAUUGUUUCCUGUUUCAUCAUGAUUUCCAGAUUUCCCUGUUUUAUUAAAACAUUCCCCUUAUGUAUUCUUUGUAGAUUAAUUAUACUUGUAAAUCAAGUCAUUGUACACUAUUUAAAUCAAUGAUAAUGCACCCUCUAGGGCAUCGAGGGAUUGAGCCAAAAUACCUUCUUUUGAGUUAUCUUUUAUGGUACUCAGAGCCAGUGACUAACGUCUUUUUUUUCUUUUCGGAUUCUUCCUACUCUUCUCCAUGGCUGCCUCAACCAGUUCGACUACUCCUUCCUCCGACAUCUUCCCUUCUGUUUCUCAUGCGAUCUCCAUCAAACUUGACUCUUCCAAUUAUCCUCUUUGGUUGGCUCAGUUGCUACCUGUUCUUCGCAGUCGUCAAUUGUUGGCUUUUGUUGAUGGUACUUCCAUCUGCCCCUCGGCGUUCUUGUCCGACGAUACCGGCAACGCCUCUUCCAAACCCAACCUCGCGUAUGCUGACUGGGUUCAGAAGGACCAGCUUGUUCUUUCUUGGAUCAAUGGCUCUCUUGGUCACCAGGCCCUCGCCGCCACUGCUCGUCAUUCCACUGCCCGUGAUGUUUGGGUUGCUCUUCAGCAGCGUUUUGCUUCUACAAACCAAAGUCGCAUUCUUCAGCUUCGUACUGCUUUCUUCCAGACCAAACGAGGUGAUUCUUCAAUUUCUGACUUUCUUGAUAAGAUCAAUGGUAUUGCCGAUCAAUUGGCCCUUGCCGGGGCACCUGUUUCUGCUGAUGACAUGGUGCCGGUCGUCAUGUCUAAUGUCGGCCCCAAAUUUGAGAACACUGUUGCUGCUGCUCAGGCCCGUGACAACCCCAUCUCCCUUUCUGAUCUUGAGGCUCUUCUUCUCGUUGCUGAACUCCGCCUUGCUGAUCCUCCUGCUCCGCCGGACUCCAGCGUCUCGGCCCUGGUAGCCUCCCGCGGCUCUUCUGCCUUUCAUGGCCGCUCCUCUUCUGAUCGCGGCGGCGAUCGUGGCUCUGGCCGUUUCUCACGUGGGGGUGGUCGUCCUCAACAUGAUGGGUCUCGCAACAAUGGUGGUGACGGCUAUCGUGGCUAUCGCGGUGCUGGUGGUUUCCAUGAUCGUCCGUUUCGCGAUCGUGGUGGUGGUCGUCCUCAGCACGAUGGCUCUCGCUUCCGUGGCUCCAACAAUGCUUCUGGGGUUCUUGGUCCAGCCCCAUAUCACGGUUCCUCCCGUCCUCGCUGCCAUAUUUGCAAUACUUUUGGUCAUGGUGCUCUUGACUGUGCUCAACGUCUUAAUUUGGCUUAUGAAGGUCGUCCUCCUUCUUCCCGUCUCACUGCCUUGACUGCUCAGCACUCCCAGCCUUGGCUCAUUGAUUCCGGGGCAAACUCGCAUAUCACCAAUGAUCUCAAUACUUUGUCUCAGUCCCGUGAUUAUCGUGGUGGUGAUUCCGUCGGUGGUGUCGUUGGCGGUACAGGUUUGCCCAUUAACCGUAUUGGCUCCUCCACUCUCUCUCAUAAUAAUAUUUCUUUCAAGCUUAAUGAUGUUCUUCAUUGUCCGGAUGCUUCUACUUCUGUGUUGUCUGCUAAUCGGUUUAUGUUGGAUAAUAAUUGUUAUAUUACAUUGUUUCCUUCUUGUUUCUAUAUUCAGGAUAUGGAGACGGGGACGAUUCUUUUUUCGGGCAAGAGUAGCAAUGGCUUUUAUCCCUUUUCCUCUUCAUCACCGACUGCUCAUGGUCGUGCUGCUUUUCUUGGUGUUCGUGUUGGUAGUGAUGUCUGGCACUCUCGUUUAGGCCAUCCAUCUUCUUCCAUUUUAAAAUUUCUUUUUUCUAGGCAUUCGAAUAAGUUGCCUGUUUCUGGCAACCUCAAUCUCAAUACUUUUAUGUGUCAUUCUUGUCCUUUAGGCAAAAGUGUUAAGUUACCUUUUUCUGCAUCAUUGUUUGUUACUCAAGCUCCUCUUGAGCUUAUUCACUCCGACGUGUGGAGUGCGUCCAAUAAAUCUGUUAGUGGUUUCCAAUAUUAUGUUCUUUUUGUUGAUAAUUUCUCUCGUUAUUCUUGGAUUUAUCCCAUGAAAUUGAAAUCUGAAGUCUUUAAUAUUUUUACUCACUUUAAGACCUUGGUUGAAAAUCAAUUCUCCACUAAAAUUAAGAUGUUUCAGUCCGAUGGUGGGGGCGAAUACACUAGUCACCAAUUCAAGAAUUUUUUUCUUCACCAUGGUAUUCAUCAUCGUCUCUCAUGCCCUCACCAUCCCGAACAAAAUGGUUUGGCGGAACGCAAACAUCGUCACAUUGUCGACACUGGACUUACUUUAAUGGCCCAUGCGUCGAUGCCUCCUGCCUAUUGGGCUAAGGCCAUGCACACAGCAGUUUAUCUUCUCAAUCGCCUCCCCUCUAAAGUACUUGGUUUUAUGUCUCCUUAUCAAAAGUUGUUUCUUAAGGAACCUGAUUAUAGUUUUUUAAAGACCUUUGGGUGUGCAUGUUUUCCCCACCUACGACCCUAUAAUAAUAAUAAACUCCAGUUUCGUUCUACUAAAUGUGUUUUUCUUGGUUACUCUCUCAAUCAUCAAGGUUCUCGGUGCUUAGACAUCUCUACUAACCGCAUCUUUUUAUCACGCCAUAUUGUGUUUGAUGAAGGUAAUUUUCCUUUCAAGGCCAUCUCUGGCUCUCUUGCCCCAUCCUCCCCGGCCUCGUCUCCUCCUCCUGUUUUAGAAAUCACUGGGCCUCUUCCGCAUGCCCCCCGACCGUCUAGCAGCCAACCGGUGGUUGUGUCCCCCUCUUUGGAGACUCAUCAAUCCAGUCCAUCAUCCGACCCACCACAGCCGGCCCUACAGGUUUACUCCCGUGACCCUCACAGGCGGGUUCUUUCUUUUGCACAAGCAGCAACCCCAUCUGUCACUCCCAGGCCCACGCCUGCUGUUGCCUCUGCAGUUCAACCUGAUGCGCCUCCCGAGGCUCCAUCUGCUGCUGUACCACCUGCCGUGCCCUCUACUUCCCAUGGUAUGCUCACUAGGUCCAAAACGGCUUCUCUUAAGCCUCAUAAAUAUGUUUUUUCUGCUGCCAUUUCUUCUUCUACCGGUCCUAUUGAGCCUACUUGUUUUAGUCAGGCCAACACUUUUCCCGAAUGGCGUACUGCGAUGGCCGAUGAAUUUAAUGCACUUCAACGUGCUGGUACUUGGACUCUUGUUCCUCGUACCGCUUCUAUGAAUAUUUUGCCAAACAAAUGGGUGUUUCGUAUUAAACAGAAUUAUGAUGGGUCUAUUCAGCGGUAUAAGGCUCGUUUGGUAGCCAAUGGUUUUCAUCAGCAACCCGGCCUUGAUUAUGGUGAAACUUUUAGUCCUGUUGUCAAUCACUCUACUAUUCGCUUAAUUUUGGCUCUUUCAGUUCAGUUUCAAUGGCCUGUUCGUCAGUUGGAUGUUCAGAAUGCUUUUCUUCAUGGCUCUUUGUCUGAGGAGGUCUAUAUGCACCAACCUCGUGGCUUUGUUGAUCCACAGUUCCCUCAUCAUGUGUGCCGCCUUCGUCGUUCUUUAUAUGGGCUCAAGCAGGCGCCCCGUGCAUGGUUCCAAUGUUUUUCCACUCAUUUGGAAGAUUUGGGUUUUCGUCCCUCUACUGCGGAUCACUCGCUUUUUACCUAUAUUCAUGGCUCUACUCGCAUUUAUCUCUUAAUUUAUGUUGAUGAUAUUUUGGUCACCGGGAAUAAUCCCUCAUAUUGUCACCCUCAUUAAGAAUUUGGGCAUCCGUUUCUCUAUGAAGGACCUUGGACCGGUUCAUUAUUUCUUAGGCAUGGAGGUGGUCCGCACUCCAUCAGGUCUCUCUCUUUCCUAACAAAAGUAUGCCACUGACCUACUUCACCGCACCAAAAUGCAUGGUGCUAAGCCGGUUCCUACUCCUGCCGUUAGUGGGCGACGGCUCAGUCUUCAGGAUGGUGACCCUCUGCCGGAUCCUAUUGAAUACCGAAGUGUUGUCGGCGCCCUUCAAUACUUGACUCUCACUCGUCCCGACAUCAACUUCGCCGUCAACCAAGUCUGCCAAUUUCUUCACCAGCCGACUUCUACUCAUUGGGCCGCCGUCAAACGCAUUCUUCGUUACCUUGUCGGCACUACUUCUCACGGUCUUACCUACAAGCCUGGUUCCUUUCGUCUUACAGCAUUUUCCGAUGCCGAUUAUGCCGGGAUCCUGAUGAUCGGCGUUCCACCGGGGGCUAUUGCUUGUAUCUGGGUUCCAAUCUUGUCUCAUGGAGUGCCAAGAAACAAAAUGGGGUCUCUCGGUCCAGCACUGAAGCCGAGUAUCGUCAACUUGCAAUCACCGCUGCCACUCUUUCAUGGUUUCGUAUGCUGUUCCGUGACCUCCAGUUUCCUCUACAUUGUCCUACACUGUUUUGUGACAAUAUCAGUGCUAUAUCCCUUGCUUCCAACCCGGUGUUUCAUGCCCGCACUCGGCAUGUUGAGGUGGAUUACCAUUAUGUUCGUGAAAAGGUUGUUCGCAAGGAGAUUGAUGUUCGUUAUCUUUCUACUCAUGAUCAGAUUGCUGACUUCUUCACCAAGGGCCUUUCUCUUCCUCGUUUUCGACUUCUGGUUUCCAAGCUUCCUGUACUUGAUUGUACUGUCAGCUUGCGGGGGCGUAAAGGAUGAUACAUUCCUGAUCUCUUGGGAUUGUUUCCUGUUUCAUCAUGAUUUCCAGAUUUCCCUGUUUUAUUAAAACAUUCCCUUUAUGUAUUCUUUGUAGAUUAAUUAUACUUGUAAAUCAAGUCAUUGUACACUAUUUAAAUCAAUGAUAAUGCACCCUCUAGGGCAUCGAGGGAUUGAGCCAAAAUACCUUCUUUUGAGUUAUCUUUUCCCAAGAAGGCUCUAGAAUUUGUUACGUGGGGGAAGAUGGAGACCAUGACCUCCUGCCACUUUCUGUUAACCCCCUUUUCUGACUCCACGUUUCUUUUUGUUGCAGAAAAUGGGGGAGCACCUGUUUUUUGCACGUUACUUCCCCCCUUAUGUAGGAAAAAAAUUAUAAAUUUUUUAUUUAUUCCUGAAUGUAUUUGUAUGUAAAGCUCAUCCUCAUCUUUUGGGUUGGAUUACAUUUUUGUUUUACCUUGAAGUUUGACUCAAUUUGAAUGGACUUUAUUUUUUCAUAUUUUUUUUGUUCAACAAGCGUAGUUUUCUUUUUCUUUUUCUCUGUGAAAUAUAUAGUAUGAAGAGGGUGGAAAUGGGUCGGGGCUUACAUUUCCUUCACUUUCUGCCAAAAGAUUGUUCCGAACCACACUGAUAGAGCGAAAAUAAACGCGAAACGUGCUAGAUUGUACUUUGGACUUCUCCAGUGGGACAAGUGUUGUUUCCACAGACAUGCCUUAAACUGCACCCAGCUAUUUUGAGCAAAAGGAGUGGGAAGGUUCAAGCCCCUUGAACCCGGCUUUGGUUCGCUCAACCGGCUAACCAACUCGACCGUGUCUCUCUGAAAAAGAAGGAAACAAACAUAUAAAUUUGAUGAUUGAAAUAAAUACAUGAUUAAUCCUAAAAUAAUGGAAAUAUUAGAGAUAUGCCCUUACCUAUACUGAGUAGAGGGUUUAUAAAUUUCAGCAAAAUCUAAACAAAGUUUUGCCUCUACUGAGGCAGAAGUAACUUCUAACAUCCAAGUUGCUGGAUUGUAAUUUUCUUUGAUCUUUGGUACAUCACGAAUAUCCUCAAAAUAUUUGACGAGUUUACUCGAGUGAUGACCGAGAACUCCAGAAUAGAUGAUUUGGCCUCCCCUUUUCAUCAAAAGUAACUGCAAAAAUCAAUGUCUUCCGUUAGUGAUCGAGUGGCUUUUAUGAUUUGGUUUAGUUUUCUUGGACUCCAUGACAAUGCUCGUUAUACUACCUCGUCAAAUGACUGAAAAAUAUCAAUGCUUGGCUUGUGGAUUGUGCAAACAGUUGUCCUUCCUGUGGAAACAACAUUCUUUACUACGCAAAUGGCAAUUGCAGCUGCUCUGGCGUCUAAGCCUGACGUAGGUUCAUCCAUAAAUAUUAUUGAUGGGUUGGAUACAAGCUCCACUGCAAUUGUUAGCCUUUUGCGCUGUUCAGUAGAUAGGCCAGUUUGUCCAGGAAUGCCAACUAAGGAAUCUCUUAUAUCCUCCAGUUCAAUCGUUUGAAUGACUUCCUCCACAAAUUUCUGCAUAGAUUAAGCAAAGGAUACUUUCUUUUAUAUGUUCCAGGAAAUUUGCAUAUUAUUGAUAAAUUGAAAGAAUAUCAUCCUACAGCUUUUAUGUCUGGAUCAGUUUCGUGUGGCAACCUCAACCAAGCUGAGAACAUAAGCGAUUCUUCUACCGUGAUCUGUGGAGAAUGUAUAUCAGUCUGCUCGCAGUAUCCUGAUAUUCUUGCAAAUGUCUUCUGGACCUUGGGGUACCCUCCGAUUCUUAUAUCUCCCACGAUACUACCUCCUGUUUCCCUUCCAGAAAGAACAUCCAUGAGAGUUGUUUUUCCAGCCCCAUGCGGUAGGAAUUCCUGGACUGAAUGCUCCUGUUAUAUCUUUAAGCAACUGAAGCUUUUUCUCCUUGAAAGCAUGCUGUCUCAUUUCCUUUUUUAAGAAGGAAUGAAGUUAAAAUACAACUAAAUAGUUUUCCAAUGAUACUAAUAUGUGAAAAUUGACUAAUGAUUUGAUUAAUUACCGGAGGUGUAUCAACAUAAUACUGCACGUCCUUAAAUGAGAUUGUCAGUGGCUCGAACGGCAGGACCAUUCUCCCUGUUUAACAAAUUGAUUUACUCUCGAAUAAUUCAGUUGUUAAAAAAAUUCCUUGCUCGUUGCUUUGAAUGGAAAAUGUGAAACUGAUAACCCGGAUAAACUGGAUGCAACAAUUCAUCUCACCUAGUGUUAUCUUUUCUCCCAUGGUUUUGAAUAAAUCGGAUAGAGUUGAUUCAUUUUCCAACGGUGCACCAGUUUGGGUUAAUAUUUAACAUUGGGCUUAUAGGAGAGAAAGCCCAAAAGAGUUCAAUAAGAAGAGUUUCGUCCGAAGCCCAGCACCAAGCCCAGACCGUCCAUCUCAAGACCAAUUGGCACUCUCCUAUUAAUGCAAAGGCUAAGUGCUUACAAGAGAAGUGACAACUGAUGAAAAUCAACCUACUCUCAGCCCAAAAGUACUUUUCAGUGGCAAUACAAGUAAAAUAUUGAUGAGUCACUACCAUUCAAUUGCUUUUGGGUAAGAACAAAGCUACAAGCGGUCGGACUAAUUCGUUUAUAAAAGGAGGAAGAGGGCUCAGAGACAAGGACACUCAAUCAAUCAAACAUACAACUUGUCUCUCAUCCAAGCAAAUACCCAGAAAGCUGUGCUUUGUCCAGACUCUGCACCCUUUUAGCCUUAGAUUUCCUUAGAAAGACAUCUUUUUUCUAUGUAAAAGCUCUGCUACAUUUUUCUAAAUGUUGUAGUAUCGAUCCCUCGUGUAUAAACUCGUUUCCAGUCAUCUCCUUUAGUACUCAAUUCUUUUGUAAACUGCAAAGAGAAGAGAUCGCAAGGCGUUUAACCUUGCUUGACAAAGUGAAAUCUUGCCCAACUCUCUUUGUUUUUAUCUUUCAAUUAACAAAUAUGGUGUUAUAAUGUAUUCCGUAGUUUAUAUUCAAGUUAUUUCCAGUCCUUUGAUGACCCAAAGCCCCAUCAGUUCUCAGAUCUGGUUCACUUAGUGGUUUUAUCAAGAAUUGAAAUGAAUUAAACUGAUGACUUGAUCAGAUCUAAGCCUUCACCCCUCAAGCAUACAAAAUAACUAAAAGUCUUUGAUCUCAAGGCAUAGAAAAUAACUUAAUGUAGACUUAAUCCAUCUACAACAAUCCUUUGAUAAACAAGAAGUCAGAAAUAACUUGGGGUGCAAGUAAUCGGCUUAAAACACACUUGUUCUACAUCUGCCAUACAGAGAUGGCAGUGGCACGCCUAAGCACCUAGUUAGUUUUGAAUGCGAGCCUCAAGGCCUAUACCUAAGGCCCCACAAAGGCACCUUUCAGAACUAACUUUGUUUUCCUCUUGCAGUAUUGUGACAAGCAGGAGCCCAACAAUCAACCAAAGUGCCAACUCCUCGGGCAGCUGUGUGCUCGAGCCAGGAACGCCCACCAACCAGAUUUCCUGCCCAAAAAGCACCAGUUUUGCGAGCUCCCCUUCUUCAAAGUUGAGAUAAUCUUUUUUUCGAAACAAUAGCCCGAUACACCUUUGGAGCUGUAUGAGGAAAAGCUUAAGUAAACUGAUGUGGAGCUGUAUGAGGAAAAGCUUAAGUAAACUGAUGAAGUGGAUUGUAAUACUUAAGUUAUCAUCUGUCAAUUAAAAUGAAUCUAAGUAAGUUAAUGCUAAAAUAAAUCCAAGAUCAGACAGCAUUGUGAACCCGAGUAAUGCUCCUACUGAUAUCCAAUAGAAAUAGCCAUCAAAGUUCAAACCAUGCCUGGUUAGAACUUUAUUCCCUAGGGUUGUGUUUCCCUCUGAGACCUAAAGAAAUGAAUUAACACUGUCAAAACACUUAUUCGACUUCGAUGAUCGGGUACUAAAAAAGUUUAUCAUCUUGAGUUGUACCUUUUGCCAGCGAGGAGCGAGGAACUCGUUUAGAGUUGUACCGAUUUCCCCAUAAGUCAUAGGUGAACACCAGAAUAGUCAACGCAACCAAGGAGGUAAAGAGGCUGCAAAACACCCCUUAUUAGUCUAGUUGUAGUUGAAUGUAACUAAAGGAAAAAUACGAUAAAUGGACUUACAUCGUGGCAAGAUGAAGCCUCCGGAUAAAAACAUUAGCACUAGGAUUAAAAUACCGCAAGUUGAUGCAACAACCAUAGUUUGGAAAACUACAGCAAUUAAACGACAUAUGGAUGUCGAUGCUUGAUGGAGAGCAAAUAGCACAAGGAACUGGAAGAAGAACCUAAAAACCAUAGCAUAUUCUUGAGGCAUUAUUAUGAUUAUUGUUCAAGCCUUUCAUGUUCUGUCGUGUGACUAUAAAGUUGAGAUCUUACGUUUUUAUGUCUGGAGCGUACCCAAUCAAAUGGUAAGUUAUUGCUGUCCACAGCAGUGAAUCAAUCACUGAAAAUGGAACCUUCAGGAUAGACUGGAAGAGAAUACGCCCAUGCUGGAUACAGAUUGAAUCCUCUUUGCUUGUAAACCACUGGUAAUCUAGUAACAGUCACAGCUCUGCAAUUCCGUUGGUCAUAAGUCGAAUAAGUGUAUAAAACAAUGAGUUCAUAAAAAAACUUGCAUUUAUCAAAUCCACGGUCCUACGGGUGCUUAUACAGAUUGCCAUUGUAAUAAAUGCAGUGAUGACAAGCUGUGGGAAAAAAAGAGAGAAAAUAUAGUAAGUGAUUUUGAGUUUAACUUCAGAAGUACAACCCCUAAAAGUGAUAUCAUUAGGCAGUAAACCUGAGCUGUUUUGAAUACGUAGAGAAAGGAAUUCCGUUUCAUGAGAAGAAGCUCUCGGGCCAUACAACCUUUGAACAACUCCCAUUUGCUCACAGAGUAAGUACUAAAUGAUAAGGCAUUAUCAUGGCACUGUGAUUUAUUGUAUGGUUUUGAGAGCUCAUCGUCUAAUUUCUUCCCCGAGUAACUUGCUCUGAAAAGUUCAAAAAAUUUGUUUGCAGAAACAUGACCGUAGGGAAUGUUAUCAUGCUUCCAGUAUUGUGCUUGAUCCUUCUUUGAGAUCACCUCUUGAAGGAAAUCUGCAGCACCCUUUCUUGGUGGGCACUUGAAACCAGAGUCUUCGAAAAACUCAACUGCGUGGCUGCGAUGACCGUGGUAAACUAUCUUCCCCUCUGCCAUUAGUAUUACAUCAUAAAAAAUAUCAAUGGUCUCGGGUGCUGGUUGGAGAAGUGAUACCAAUGCAGUUGUAUCUGUGAUAUGCACCAGCUGCUGAAGAUAGGUAACUAUCUGAAAGGUUGUAGAACUGUCUAAUCCCGUUGAUAUCUCAUCCAUAAAAAGAGCUUUUGUAGGACCUACAAUCAUUUCUCCUGAAGAUUAAACAGAAGAGGAAUGUUAUGUUUGAAACAUUUUUCUACAUGGGAAUUAGUAAUUACAUUCAAAUUUCCCUCGGAUUCAAGAUUUCACUACCGGUUGUCAGCCUUUUCUUCUGGCCACCAGAAAUGCCUCUUCUUAAUGCAUCACCAACCAUUGUGUCACUCACUACACAUACCCAGUCCAAGUAUCUAAAGAGAUUCCAAAAUAUCGUAAUUCAUUUUUCCUGUCCGAGUGAGUUAGAAAUGUCACGUUUGAACUACUUAAUGUCAGCAUUGUCCAUGUCCAACACUGGUUGGAGAAAAAUUUACCUUCAAAACAUAAUCGGUUUGGAGAUUUUCCCUUUGUCCUUCAACUGAAAUGGCCUGUGAGUAUUAUGUAAAUCUCUAAAACCUCUAACACAAAAGGGUGGUAAGAUUUACUAAAAGGAAUGUUAUGAGACUUUACAAUUACCUUCAUGUAGGUGUCAAUAUCUGGAUCGGGGACUAUUCCUGCUUCUUUUUCCCUUCUGCUGAGCUCCAUUAUUAUAUAUGCAUAAAAUACGAUCGAAAUUAAACUUCAUACGUCAAUAGAAGUACACGACUAACCCAAUAGUAAAUGCAAUAGGGGAUAAGGAAUAUGCACCAGCUCUACUGCCAACACCCUGGCAGCGGGAGGAAAAGUCAAUUGUUUCCCUCAGUCAUCUCAGGCAGGUGAAGGUCAUGCUGGCUAAUGUAAGCUGAUGUUUUUUGGGGAACAAACUCAUCUAGCUUGUAACCAUUAUAAGUGUUGUAAACUGAAAUAGAAAGGAACGAAGUUACCUAAAAAAAUGUAGAAGCCUUGAGUGGUGAAUGAUUAUUGGGAUGAGUUGCGGACUAAGUCGCUUUCUUUAAGACGUUUCGCGGCUCUACCCAAAGUGUGCAAGCAGUUCACAAACACCACAUCGUCCUAGGAUAAAACAGCCCAAAACCUUCUUCUUCUUCUUCUGAUAAAGUUCUUCCUUGUACAGUAGAAGAACCUUCGAAUUCACAUUCUCUCAAUAUGUUGCUAACCAAAACUAUAUAUUAGAAAAUAUAUCUUCUUUUUUUUCCGCAUACUUUCAAUGAUCCAGGGACUACUAUAUAUACAUUUAGACGAAAGAGAUGUUGAGGGUUUGAGAAAAUUGAAAGCAGGACAAAAUCAAAACGUAAGUCAAAUAAAACGGUUUGAUUAUGUAUCAUGACAUGAUCUUCUUCUCUAUACAAAGAAGGAAUGGCACGUUUCAAACUUAAAAGGAGAUAACUCCUUACCUAAUUGAAAAGUCAAAAUCAAUUGGCAGUUAUGCAUAGAAUAUUGGUAAUAAAACAAAACGUUAUGUAUAUAAUAUUGGUAAUAAAAUAAAACAUAAAUAUAUUUAAAUAUUUAAAUAAAAACAUAUUUACUCAACAAUCCCCCACUUGUUUUUGUUUAAAACUAUACAUCAAGCAAUAUAUCGUAAAGCUAUACAGAAGUAAAUGUGUUUCUCAACUUAAAUCUAUACAUAGUGUUAGUGAUCGAGAUUAUACUAGAGUAACUUAUAGUUUUGAACUCUAUCCCUAACAACACCACACACACAACUUUAUUAAGGUGAAGUUCAAAAAGCCAGCACAUUACAACCAUGUGCUUGUAUCCCAGUAUAGUGAACGCUCUAGAAACUUGCUCAAGAUUUCAUAGGAAGCGGCAUCACUUCCACAUUCACAUAGUUAAGACUAUCAAGGUAUUCCUGUAGCUAGAUAUCUCACUUAACAUAGAGUAUAGACCUUACUAAGAGAAAAAAAAAUCUCAACCUAAAUACGCUUCAGGAUGUCAUGCUUCUUAGGGAUGGACAUGGAAUAAUAUUCCAAACUAAAAUUAGCAAGACUUCACUCUUAUCACUUGUGACUUGUUAUUACCCUUUGAACCUAUUUCUUGGGAUCUCUAGUCUAUAGGUUGGGUUGCUAUCACAAAUAACUCAAUUCUCUAGGGCUUUAGUCCCAUCCCUUUCGAGGUUUUCCAAACCUUUUCUCGUGCUAGUCCUUUUGUCAAAGGAUCAACCAAGUUUUCUUCAUACCGUAUAUGAUCCACUCUCACAGCUCCAUUAGACAGGUAAUCUCUUACAGUGAUGUGCUUACGACGUAUUUGUCGCCCUUUCCCAUUAUAAUAAUGAUUUUGCACUUUAGCUAUUGCCGAUGUGCUAUCACAAUGGAUCAAAACUGCUGGAAUCGGUUUCUCCCAUAAAGAGGUAUCUGACAGUAGGUUUCUCAACCAUCCUGCUUCUUCGCUUGUCGUAGCUAGCGCUAUUAAUUCUGACUCCAUAGUGGACUGAGCCAUGAUAGUAUGUUUCUUAGACUUCCAUGAUACAACCCCACCACCAAGACUAAAAAUACAUCCACUAGUGGCUUUAGAGUCAUCUGAAAGGGUAUUCCAAUCAGCGGCACUGCAACCUUCUAGGACAGCGGGAAACUUCUCAUAGUGUAAUCUAAAAUUCAUUGUCCUUUUAAGGUAUCUCAUAAGCCUAUCUAUGGCAUGCCAAUGCUCCAAACUAGGUCUACUAGUAAACCUGCAUCAAACUCCUACGACAUAAGAUAUAUCAGGCCUAGUGCAAUCAGUAGCAUAACGAAUGCUACCAAUAAUACUCGCAUACUCAGAUUGUUUAACACUGUCACCAAUGUUCUUGAACAAUUUUACACUAGGAUCAUGAGGAGUACAUGCUGGUUUACAAUCAAAAUAAUUAUACUUUCUUAAAAUUGUUUCUAUGUAGUGAGAUUGAUCUAAAGAAAACCCAUGUUCAAACCUAGUUAUUUUCAAACCAAGUAUUACGCUAACUUCACCCAAGUCUUUCAUAUCAAAAUUAGCAGAUAACAAAGAUUUGACAUUAUUCACAACAUGAAUAUUCGAACCAAAAAUAAGCAAAUCAUCCACAUAUAGGCAUAUAUUACUUUCAGACUUAUAAUAGAUGCAUUUGUCACUUUCAUUUAUUUUAAAACCAUUUGAAGUAACCAAACUAUCAAAUUUUGCAUGCCAUUGUGUGGGAGCCUGUUUCAAUCCAUAAAGUGACUUAUUUAACUUGCAAACUUUAUUUUCUUUUCUUGGAAUAAUAAAACCUGUGGUUGACCCAUAUAUAUUUCUUCCUCUAAUUUACCAUUUAAGAAAGCUGUUUAACAUCCAUUUGGUGCACAACAAGAUCAUGAAUAUAAGUUAAGGCAAACAAUACACGAAUAGAUGUUAUUCUAGUCACAGGUGAACAAAUAUAAAAGAAAUCAAUCUUUUCUCUUUGUCUAUAGCCUUUGGCAAUAAGUCGGGCUUUAAAAUUUUCAACUGAUCCAUCAGGUUUUAAAUUUUUUUUAAGAAUCUAUUUGCAACCUAUUGUUUUGCAACCAGGUGGAAGAUCCACCAAGUGCCAAGUUUGAUUUGACUCCAGGGAGUCCAUUUCAUCAUUUAUAACUUCUUGCCAAAAAAUUGCAUCUAAAGAAGUUAAAGCUUCUUGAAUUGUAUUAGGAUCUUCUUGUAAGUUAUAUACAUGGAAAUCAGGGCCAAAAUCUUUAGCUAUUCGAGCUCUUUUACUUUUCCUAGGUUCUAAUGCAGAUUGACUAUGUUUUACAACAUUAGGUUCAUAAAUUUUAGAAGAAUUAGAACCCCCACUAUUUUGAAGAUUAAAAGGAAAUUUAUUCUCAUAAAAAUCAGCAUCAAGUGACUCAAUUAUGACAUGGUUUUUCAAAUCAUAACAUCUAUAUGCUUUGCUAUUACAUGCAUAACCAAUAAAAACACAUUCAUAUGCUCUACUAGCCAAUUUCGAUCUUUUUGGACCAAGUUUACGAACAUAAGCUAAACAACCCCAAGUUUUGAAAUACAAUACAUUUGUUUUCUUAUUUUUCCAAAUUUCAUAAGGAGAGAUAUUCGAUUCUGAGGUAGGAAUUCUAUUUAAUACAUAACAUAUAGUCAACACAAUUUCACCCCACCAAUAAGAAGCAGCUCCAGAACUAAGUAGCAACACUCAAUUCGCAAAGAGUUCGAUUUUUUCUUUCCGCUUUACCAUUCAUUUCAGGAGAAUAAGGAGCAGUAGUUUCAUGAAUAAUUCCAUUAGACUUAAACAAAUUAACAAAUUCAAUGGAUUCAUAUUCUUGUCAUCUAUCACUACGAAAUCUUUUAAUCUUAUGAUUAAACUGAUUUUCAACUUCAGUAAAGAAAGUUUUGAACAUGUCAAUAGCUUUACUUUUAUUUUUCAUAAGAUAGACAAAACAGUAAUUCAAACAAUCAUCAAUAAAGGUAAUAAAAUAACGUUUUCCAUUUCUAGUUAACACUCUAUCAAAUUCGCAUAUAUCAGAAUGAAUUAAGUCAAGUGGUUCAGAUUCUCUAUUGACAGAUUUAUGUGAAGUUCUAGUGAUUUUAGCUUGACUACAAUAUUCACAUUUUUCAAAAUCAGUCAACGAUAAGUUAGGUAAAAAGCCUAAGUUACUCAUGUUCUUAACCAAGAGUUUGUUAACAUGACAAAGUCUAGCAUGCCAAGUAUUAAAAGAAGACAACAUGUAAUCAGAAGUAGACAUUUUAUCAACAUUCAAUUUAAACAUUCCAUUAGUAGCAUAUCCCUUUCCCACAAAAACCCCAUUUCUAGUAAGAGUAUACGUAUUUGCUCCAAACGUUUGAGUGAAUCCAGCCUUGUUGAGAAGUAAGCCUGAGACCAAAUUCUUCCUUAUUGUUGGAGCAUGCAUCACAUCUUUCAGUAUCAUGGGUUUUCCAGAGGUGAACUUUAACUCCACCUCUCCAGUACCAGCAACAUCAGUUGAGUGCGAAUCACCCAACAACACAUUUCUUCCCUCAGCCAUAGAAUAGGUCUUGAAAAGAGAACGAUCGUAGCAAGCAUGGGGAGAAGUGCCAGUGUCCACCCACCACCCACCACCCCUCGGACUAAGUUGAUUUCUGAUAUCAUUGCAAUUAGUUGCUCUUCAACAAGAUUUGUUUGAGAAGCAAAGUUUUCCUUAUAAUGCAUGGCAGAUUGAAUUCAUCUUAAAAUUGUUGUAAACUGAAAUAGAAAGGAACGAAAUUACUCAAAAAAAAUGUAGAAGCCUUGAGUGGUGAAUGAUUCUUGGGAUGAGUCAGGGACUAAGUCACUUUCUUUAAAACAUUUUGCGGCUUUGCCCAAAGUGUGCAAGCAGUUCACAAACACCACGUCGUCCCCAGGAUAUAACAUCCCAAAACCUUCUUCUUCUGAUGAAGUUCUUCCUUGCACAGUGGAAGAACCUUCGAACUCACACUCUCUCUCAAUAUGUUGCUAACCAAAACUAUAUAUCAGAAAAUAUAUCUAUUUUUGUUCCGCAUACUUUCACUACUAAAUAUACAUUUAGACGAAAAAGACGUUGAGAGUUUGAGAAAAUUGAAAGCAGGAAUAAAACGGUCUUAGGUCCGAUUCUCGCCGAAGGCGAAUUUGAACCACUAAACCGUAGCACUAAGUGGCUCCUAACAAUGUCUCUUAACAAGUUUAGAGGUAUUUGUCUUCACUAAUAAAUGAAAAGCGUUUGAAUUUCAUGAAUGACAAGUGCAAUACAAAAUUCAAAUUAUCAUGGUUCUUCCAUUAUAUGAUUUAACCAAAGCAUACCAUCUCUUAGUGUAAAUAUAUCAUUGAACUAUCAUUGAAGUAGUUCCAACAUUCGUAUACCAUCUUAAUUAUCAAUUUACUAUUACAAAAUUUCUAUUAAUUUUUCUUUACAAACUAAAGUGUUAUUAGGCUAAGUUGUUAAAUAUUAGGAGAUGAGUAGGGAUCGACCCACCGCCAAAGUACAUAUAUAGGUAUUACUGUUUUCUGCUACUAUGAUAAAGUGUAAUAUACUUCUAUAUAUUAAAAGAAAAUUCACUGAUACAUUUCCACAUGUAAACAUUCAACAUUGGACAUAUAUAAUAUUUUUCCCUACUUCUUUGGAAAUUUAAUUUUCCAAUGCAAUAGGCAAAUAGGGAAACAAAGACAAUCCCAACUGGGAAAGCAAUGAGAACAAGAGCCACAAGGCCUAAACAAUCAUGGUGGAAACCAUAAUAAUCUUGUAGGAUUAUUUUCUAUUUAAAAAACGUAUGUGAACAUACACAUUAUUUUCUAUUAUAAUAUGUGUAAGUUUAUGAAGGGAAAUAUUCACUAAAAUGAUCAAAAAUCAAAUUCUGAUGCCAAAACAAAAUCAAAUAUUGUCAUACUGAAAAACUAAUCAUUUCAACAAAUGAGAUUCAAAUAUUUGAUUAUUUUGGCCAAUUUUCCUGUAUUGAUACCCUAACCUAAAGUAUAAAUUACUUGCACAUCCAAAUUAUAACACAUGAAUUAACAACACUCCGUCAAUUAGACUUGUGUUACAUGUAUUUACACGGUUAUUGUCAUUCCAAGUGCUCAAAUGCUAAUGGAGUUACACAAAACCAUCAAAUAUUAGAAAAGAUUGGAUUCAAGAUAUACUAAGUAUAAUGUACAGAAUGUUGCAUAUAAAGUACCAGAAAACUUUAGUAGGUGACCAAGAGAACCCUAUUGCAGGAUAUGCAACGGCUACAUACAAAACUUGUAACAUUGUAUAAUGUAUUUUAAUGGCAACAUGCAACAUUUAACACUUUACACUAUAUUUGGAUGAGGAAGUUUAAGAUUGCUAAGGAAAUUUAAAGUAACGGAAAUUGAAAUGAUGGAAUUUUAUUUUAUAGAAUAUGUGAAUUUUCUUGUUUGGUUGAGGAAAAUAAACUUGGAAUUUAGAUAAAAGUCAGAAUUUGUAAAUUGACAUGCACCAGUUUCCUUGUUUGGAUUCAUAAACAUAUAUAGGAAUUUAGAAUUUUCGGGUGAAAAAAAAACUUGGAAUUUGGGACCUCCAAUUCCCAAGUUUAAAUUCCAUGUAAAUAUGUAUCAUUUCCCAAUUUCUAUGAUUGAGUGCUUAAAAAUAACAAAUUCCGUAAUCAAUUCCAUUUAUUUUUAGGUUAACCAAACAAGAGAAUUCACAAAUUCUAGAAAAUAAAAUCCUGUCAAUUCAAUUUCCGUCAUUUUAAAAUUCCUUAGUAAUCUUAAAUUUCUUCAUCCAAACAUAGUGUUAAGAACAAUGGAAUUUGAAAUGAAAUUUGUUAUUUUAAACCCUCAUUCAUGAAAAUUCAGAAAUGACACCAAUUUACAUAGAAUUUAAAAUGGGAAUUAGAUGUCCCAAAUUCCAAGUUUUUUUCUCAUGCAGAAAUUCUAAAUUUCUAUGUUUAUGAAUCCAAACAAGAGAAUUGGUACAUGUUAAUUUUUAAAUUCCAGCUUUUAUCAAAAUUCCAAGUUUAUUUCCCUCAUCCAAACAUAGUGUUAGUUUAAAACUGUGAAGAUUUUGAUUUAUCGAUUACAAACUAAAUAAGUACUUGAAUUCUUAGGCACUUCAACGUAUGAACUUGUGCAAAUGAACAAGGUCGGCCCUGAGAUUUUGAAGGCCCGAGCUAAGCUACCAAAUAGGAGCCCUUUAAUUCUUAGGCACUCCAAUUGGUUGUAGGUUCAUAUACAUUUUAUUUUUAUAGUAAAUACUCAUUAAUUUAUUAUUAUAUCGUACUCUUAUUUAAUUAAUAAUCAACAAUAUGCUAAAGUUUUAAGAAGGUGUUUGGACCCAAAAUUACAUCAUCGGCCCGUGCAAUCAAGGCCGUUGAGUAGGCAUAGCUCUCAAUCGUCGGAUAAAAAAGCAGAGAUAAUUUUGUUAUUAAAGGAUAAUAUUAUGGUUUUUAUCAUAAUUAUCUUUUAAUGAUUUAUCUCGACAUCUUCUUAUGAAAGAGGGAAAAUAUAUCUCCAAGCUGGAAACACGCAGCACAAUUCAAAGCGAUUUGGAUGUUUGGCGUGUGGAUGUGGUUUGGAUCGGUUUUAGUUGACAAAUAUGCAUGCAUGUGAUAAGGGUGAAGUAAAAAUGGUGAUAUGCUUUGAAAAUGAGUCUACAUGUGUUGGUGAUAAGAUGGCAGCAACUGCCUUGCUGACAAUUAACAUUGGGUAUUUUAUGCUAAAUCAUGCAUAUUGGUAUAUGCUUUUGUAUUGUGGGCCAGCAUAUGUUUUUUUUUUAUGGAGCCAAAUUCAUUUAACAAUGGAUAUUUGGAACAAUAAGAAGUUUAAGUAGGCAUAGGCCUUUGAGAGUUUGAGUUUCAGUUGGUUUCUACGAAAUCAUCAAGGCCACGCCAAGCGGGAUCAUGCAUAUUUGAAAGAGAAUAUUCCUAUUAUUUUGCAACUUACGACGGCAAUCUUACGGUUAUAGAGGCAAUGACAACAUAAAGGUGGUAUUUCGAAUUCAACACACAAACUGCCAUGCACAAACUCUUGCUCUACGCGAAACCUCUUAACAACCUUGAGAUUUUUAUUUUCCUUUUUCGCCAACACAUCUUCAGUUUGGAUAAAUAGCACUAUGAAGGCAACCGGUGAACAUCUUCACUUUGGAUAAACAAUACUAUAACCGUAGAACCAUUCGACCAUGAAGCACCUUUAGUUUGGAUAAACAACAUUGCUCCGAGACCGAUUGAUUACCUAUCCAAGUCUCGGUCAAGAAGAAUUUUCAAGUCCUUACUAGUAGAGAUCAUCUCAUCAGCCUUCUCGACGAAGUGAGGUGUUACCAGGUUACUACAUUCGGCACCCUGAGAGCCCAAUUUGAUAUUGAACUUCGUAGAACUAAUAGCCUUGUCUUCAGGUUCUAGAACCUGAAGGUCGAGACGUGUUCAUUUCUCGACCGCAGUCGUGAGAUUCAGAAGUCAAUAGUGCGCCCAAUGCAACAUCAACUCAUUUUACUUACCGGUCAAGCUCGACCGUCGAGUUGGCAUGCCCCACACACAACCGAAGGACAUAGUUAGCUUUUUAAUUACUCGGCUUGUGCGCCACGUAUACUUGAUAGUUUUUAAGAUCAACAGAAGGUAAAGAGCAAUAAAAACUGAUUAACGAAUUUAACAAAUUUAAUAGCGCCAAUUGAUCCUCUUGUAUUCUUCUUGAAAUCAAUUUCACAAUAACGAAUAUUAGAAUCAUGAGAUGAUUGAUAAUAAAUUAUUGAAACAGAGAAGAUAUAGCAAAUAAGAUAAGGUAGCUGGCAUUUGAUAGCGAUUUUGCUUGUAAAACUACACUUUUUGUCCAUCCAGAAGAAACCCAUUCUUCUGUUACAUGGCUUAACCGUGACCACACAAAACAGGAGAGCACGGGAAGGGCACCAGAAGUGGAGGGCAAACAAUCCUUGUCCGUGCUUUGUCCAUCGAGAAUAAGAAAUUGUAGGGACUAGGGGCCCAUUGCUCUUUUGAGAUGCAAGUUAAGGGACCUAACAAAGGGAAGUAAAAAGCAUUGGUAGGACAAAACAAGCCGUUUUAGGAAAACAACUUGGGGGAAGAUUCUCUCAUUUCCUAAUCUCUCUCCCAUUUUCUCUCCUUCUAUUUGAACGGUUACGGUUUAGCUACGUCAAUAUCUUAUAUAUAUAUUUUUAGAGACGAUAAGACAAAAAAUAAUAUGUGGGAGAAGGGAAAAGAAGGGGAUGAGAAUAGGAGGGGAGAUAAUUCUCUUCCAAACAACUUGCCUAUACAAUUCGGAUUCUAAGACGGUGGUAUCCCAAACGAAUCUCAUCCGACUAUGUGUUUAAACAUUGCACAUGACACCACGUGAUUGUUAAAACAUUGUCACCGUAGUGUAUUGUACAUAUACAUGAUUGUUUUGAAGUAACAUCAUCAUUGUGACAUAUUCAUGACGUAUGCUUAUCUCGCCGACUAGAGUUUCAGAUUCCUAACCAGGCGGGCAUAAACGUGCUUACAGCCUAAAAGGCCUUAACCUCAUAGAUCUGAAAACACAUUUCUGUCGGAGAAAUUGUCAAGAAUAAGAUACGAACUAGAGUUUACUCCGGGCAAGAUACCUGAGAUUUUUAGCCGUUAAAGUCAUUGAAUUCUUGACCAAUGAUCUAACAGCUAAGUUCACAUUGUAUAACCGAGGCACACUACAGAACGUAGAAAAAAAUAAUGGGGAUUAAAACGCUUCAUUGGGUAGAGGGAUAAGUGACAAAACAAUGAGAAAAAACACAUCAAUUGUAUUAGAAAUGCAACUUGCCAAUGUGCACAACAACAAAUGAACAUAGUUGCUACUCCACCGCAAAACCACCUCUGUGUCUGUCAAAUCUUAUUAAUCUCUGCGAGCAGAGGUAGCAAAACAACCUUGAAAAAAAACCCCCCACAACUUUCCAUAUGUUUUUUUUGACACCCCCGUUAACCCCUCAUAAUCAUAAACUACUAAUGACACAUUCUUCAAAGAACACGAAAAUAUAAAAAUACUAAUAAAAGAAAACCCAAAUGGCGCAAUGCCUGUAUAGAGAGAGAGAGAGAGAGCGAGAGCAGCAGAGGCUUAAUUCAAUUCAAUGUUUUGAUUCGAAGGGGUGAAGACUGAAGAGCCGCCAUUAAAGCUUUAAGCUUGGGGCUUGUCCCACUUGAGUGGCUUGACAACCUCCCAGGUGAAGUCGGGGUCAUCCCUCCCGAAGUGUCCGUAGGCGGCGGUCUUCAAAAACCUUCCAUUGCCACCCCUCUUGAG
rnacentral:lncRNA from 1 species